rnacentral:lncRNA from 1 species
AAAACCAAAGGAGAUCGAGAUAAUUGAGUAAUGAAGUAACCUCAAUAAUGGUGACGCCAAUACCCUGAAAUUCCUUGUGGAUUUCAAGCUUGGAGGGUCUUGAAUUUUGUGUAACAGGUCGAGCAUAAACAAAAGUAUUGUGACCAGAAGAAACACUUGCUUUCACCAUAUACUUACCGAGGUAUCCAGUACCCCCAAAGAUAAGUUUCUUUGGUUUUGUGUUCUUACCUUUCAUUUCUUCCUUUCAUUUCAAUUUGUCUUUUCAUAUUCCCUUCCCUUUUUACACAUUUAUAUGUUGAAAAUGUGAGACUCGACAGUUCAUGCGGAUAUAAUUGCUGCAAACGAACGGAUAUAAUUGAAGAAACAAAUUUAUGAAUGCUAGAAAUAUCUAAGCAUCUAAUAAAUUUCUUUUAGACAGGUAGAAAUAUCUAGGCAAAAGUUGUUAAAAAUUAGCCACAACGAAAAAUGCUAAAUGUGUGGUCACCUAGUGUUUGUAAGGCCUAUAAAGACAUGGCCGUGUAUCCAAUUCAAGCAAUGAAGUUAAGAACAACAAAAUCUUCCACUAGUAAAAUCCUUUCCACUUCCCUUUAUCUUUGAUCAAAUAUUAUUGAUCAAAAAUAUUUUCUACUUUAAUUAUUUUAGCCCACUAUCUACCCCUGCUCCAACACCUGCCUUCUACUCCCUCAAUUUUUGGGAACCGAAUCUAAAAAUUUUUAUAUCAUUGAAUUUAAAGGGGGAAAGAUCAAAAUGGAAGAUCAGUAUGAUAAGUUUCUUUUGAAAAUGAAUUAUUUUUUCAAUAUUUCUUUGAUAAUGUAUCAUUCUCACUAUAAACUAUAUCGUGAUUAGUUAUGUUUUCUGCUUAUUAUUAUCAUUAUUUUAACAUCACAGCAUUUUUCUAUAGAGUAAAAAUAUAUAAAUGCUUAAAAAUAUGCAUGGAGUUCCAUGCAUGUUCUGUUAUUCUUUCUUUUGAUUUAUUGACACAAAACAAGGAUAAGACUAGUUUUGGAAAAUUAUCACUUUAUGAAUUAACUUCAUUUAAUAAGCAAAAUUAUCCUAUUGUGACAUCAUACCCAAACUGGGAUAAUUAGAUAGUUUUUAUUUCAUUUUCUUGAUUUUUUAAUUAUCUAAUAAUACUCAGACUGUGGGGUAUGGUACCCUUAGUUAAAUACUAACUUCAAACAGUUCACAUUCAAAUUAGUGAUACAUAUCUUACACAAGAAACAUAUUUGGUUAUGGUUAAAAAAUUAUAAAUGAUGAGGGUCUGCUUUGAAAUUUAACCAAAAAAAUUCACGUAUUGACCCACUAGAUUUACACUUUGGCCCAAUGGAAUAGAACAUCAUUCUGGUUCUGCUUGUAGUGAUUUUAUCCUUUUAUGACUUUAUAUAAAAGUAAAUAAUUUUAUUAAAAAAAUUAAAUAAAAAAUCAAAAUUCUUACUCUCAGAUAGCUUUACUAGUUCUUCCUCAGAAACGUGAACUCUUUUGAAACUCCAUCCAGUCUUUUGUUCCCAAAGGGAGAUCAAUUCAAGUUGUGAUAUAAUGCUUGCUUGCGGUCGAUAAAUCACAAUUCGAUUGCAUGUCCUUGGAUCAUUUAUCACUUUGAUUGUACAUUUAGCUAUAUCUUCCUCGUAAUUAAAGACAGCUGAUAUAGAUAAAUAGAUGAUAGAACAUCAAAAAGAUAUUCAAAAAAUGAACUUUUAGUGUAAAUUUUAUUUUAAUAUGCGUGGACUCCUGCAUUGGGAAAGUAUACGUACCUUUUGCUUCACCACUUCCAUAAACAACAACAUCAUCAUGUGAUUCAGAAGGACGAAGCAAGACAUUCACAAAGUAAGCACCACAGAGAUUUGCUGAGACAAAGGUGUAGGGAAUUUGAGCUGCUUCUAUUGCCCUUCUUACUAUUCUUUUUUUCUCCAAGCAAGCUUCAAAAGGGGGCAGAGGCCUCACCCUGUCCUCUUCACAUCCAAACUCAGAUGGAAGAAACCUCUAGCAACCAAAACAUAGUGUGUUUAAGAUUUGUUCUAUAUAAACAAAUUUGAAGCAAUGCAGCACUGAAUUGUAAAAAGACACUAAAAUGUUACGAAGACACAAAUACGAAAUUAAAGUUUGGGAUUUUAGGUAUUUUGCUAAUUAAGUAGCUCUCGUAUAUAUUUUUAUGUCUUUUAUAACUAACUACUAUUGCCUAGUUUAAAUCUACAUUUACAAAAUGCAAACGUCUACACUUAAAAGUUUCUAAUAUUUUUCAAUUAGCGCGAUUUAUUUUAUUUUUUAAAAAGAAAGAGCUUAAUCAAAUACCUUGAUGUUACCAGCAACUUUGAUGGCAUCAACAAUUUUCAGUUGAUCAAGAAACUGAGGAUAAGCUACAGUAGAUAUCACCACAUCUACUUCCUUAAGUAUAGAUACAAUUUUCUCGUGCUCGUCCAGCUCUCCCUGUUUUAAUUUCAACAGUAUUAUUACAAAUAAUAUCGAAGGGCUCCAAUUAGAUCAACACAAAAUUAAUCUCAUAAAAAGAAGUAUCAGAGGUUUGAGGUUCGAAUUUCGCGCGUGCAUUUAAAGGGGGAAAAAAAGAGGAAAAAAAAAAAGAAAAGAAACAAAACCAAAGGAGAUCGAGAUAAUUGAGUAAUGAAGUAACCUCAAUAAUGGUGACGCCAAUACCCUGAAAUUCCUUGUGGAUUUCAACCUUGGAGGUUCUUGAAUUUUGUGUAACAGGUCGAGCAUAAACAAAAGUUUUGUGACCAGAAGCAACACUUGCUUUCACCAUAUACUUACCGAGGUAUCCAGUACCCCCAAAGAUUAGUAUCUUUGGUUUUGUGUUCUCACCUUCCAUUUCUUCCUUUCACUUCAAUUUAUCUUUCAUCCUCCCUUCCCUUUUUACAUAUUUAUAUAUGAUAUCAGGAACUCACAUUUUUAGUGUUGAAAAUGUUAUACACACAGAAUCUGGUAAAUUUGUUUUCUUGAAAAAGUUGCUCCACCUAAACUAUUAUUUUUUAAUUUUCAUGAAUAAUCAAUAUUCUUAACCACAUAAAUUUUAUUGCCAUUAUUGUUCCCUGAAAAAAAAUUAUUUAAUUAUAAAUUUCAAUAGCUAAAUUUAUUAUUAAAAUAUUUGAAUUUUUUCAACCGCGAUAAAAAGAAGUCUAACCCGACCAACAAGUGCUAAAUUUUCUACAUGUUGAAAAUUUGACUUGAAUGUGGGAAAACAUUAAAGAAAAUAGGAUAAAAUAAUUGGAAUCAUAAUUCUCUCUUGAUCUGGUCUUGAUAUGAGUAAAUUCUAUUAAUACAAUUGGUGGUUAAUAAAUUAAAAAAAAAUUAAAUCUUAAUCCUACACUAAUACUAAAAUACAGGUGAUAUAAGAUCUAUAAAAGAUCAAGAGUAUUCAGAUUAAGGAUAUUAAUCCAAAUAAUUGCUCCGCAAAAGAGUGACAAUGAAAUUGCAAAAUUCUUUGACAAUUUUGUUCAUGCAAUUAAAUACCAAGUGGUGAGAGCAAAAACAAAUAAAAGGCCAAAGCCUUUUGGCUUUAGAAUUGAAAACGUGGGGCCUAUUUUGAAGAUUCUAUAAGUAAGCUUUUGGCUUUUGGACGAAGAGGAGAGGGAGCCGCCAAAGAGGAAGAAAAAAGGCAGACGCAAGGCAGAAAGGGAGAAGAAGAAUAGUGGCAGCAGUAGUAAUUUAAUUCUUCAUGACUGGUUUUAUUUAUUUUGUUGCUCUUUAUUCAAGUAUGUUUAGUUAAUUUAUUUAUAUUGAAAUUAAAGAUAAAAUCAUAUUUAAUAAAAUAAUUAUCUUUUUAUUUAAUUAAUUCCCUACACGUGUGUUUGAAUGUUUAUGAUUUUUGUUGAAAAUGUGAGACUCGACAGUUCAUGUAGGGGACUCAAUUUGUGGUGUUUCCGUGCAAUAAUGUUGUACGCUCUAGAUGUUAAAAUCAAUGGAGCUAUUUCAGCAGCUCAAAAUCCGAAAAUUGUCUCCUUAUUUCUGAGUGAUAAAUUGAUAACAUCUUUUAGUGUGAUAAAUUUAUAAUUUUUUACUUAGUAAUUUUAUCUCGGCGUCUUUGACUGUUUACACAUAAAUUGACAAAAUCAGCCAUGAUUCUUAUGUUUCUCCUUAUAAAUGGAUAAUUUAAAUUUGUGAUAAUAUAUAUUUUAUUUAUUUUUCUUUAAAUGAUAGAAUAGUAGACAAAGUUCAAAUUAAUUCCUUAUUUCCUUUAGUUUUAGGAUUCAAACUCGGAACCAACCAAAUAAUACUAUUUGAAAACUACUCUUUAGGCCGGCGACAAAUAAGUGAUAAUAAGUUUUUGGUUUAUAAACAAAAUGCCGACGUUUUCUAUGCGAAAUGAAUGGUGACUAUUGCUCUAUGCCACGAGCGAUUUUUGUGAGUAUUCAGAUUCUCACAUGAAUAUAUAAUACAAUGGUUGAUUGAUAAAAGGAUGACGGGUCUUUUGUGAGCUUUGUAGAUAUAUUUUUCUUCCAUUUGUACUAUUGAAAAAAAAGAAAAAAAGGGAUCCGAAUCUUCAAUUGAUUUUUUUAAUUGUUUUAAGGGGAAAUUAAAGCACUUACGUGGUUUUGUACAAUUUUUAUAAAUAUAUAUAGUUGUUUUAAAAAAUAGUGACAUCGUCUCUUCUUACGACAACUGUGUCUUUUAUUGUAGUGAUCGAAUUAUUUUUAUCUAGGCGUAUAUAUAAUCAUUUUGCUAAAUGAUGAAAUGUGACCAUUUUUUUCUCAUUUUUUUUCAUUUACAGUGCUGAUAUUUUCAUACCACAAUUUUUGUAAACCCUCCCCACUUCAAGAAAAUAAUUAUAAUAAAUUCACAUUAUUUUUAAGAAAACUCAAAUAAAGAAGAAGUUUGAGAAGUAAUUAAUUAAAUCUACCUUGAUUUGUUUUGUGACUUUAAUUUUUUUGUCAUAUUUGACUAAAAAGAUUGCUUUGUCAUAAUUUUGAAUUGAUUAUUUACGCUUAUAAGGUAAAAGUACCAAAAUACCAAAACAUUUACUUUAAGUUCAGAAUUUUUGAAUUUUAUACAAAAUUUAUAAUUUCUAAAAAAUGUAUCAAAACAAAUUUAUUAGAAUGAUUAUUAAGAUUUAGUUAAACUAACAAAAUAUUUUUAUGGCAUAAGACUCAUGUAAUUUAUUGGAUGUCAUGUUGUAAGUCACAAAACUAAAUACCUAGAUUGUUAGAUAUAGGAACAUUAUCACAUUAUCUUUGGAUAAUUUGGUCAUUUUAUGUAUCUUGGGUAAAACAUUGAAAUAAAAUUUAUCUUAAACCAACCUUAACAGCAAAUAUGGUUAAACAAACAUAAGUGAAAAAAAUACAUAAGAAUUAAUUGAUUAAUUGCCCAAUCUCUUUGUUUAACUCUAUUUUUUGAAAAUAAUGUGAGCUUAUUAUAACACUUCUAUCUCCCUCAAGAUUUACAUUCGGGUGACUAGCCAAAUAUAGAUGCUUGAAAACCAAAAGGCUUGGGGAAAUAAGAAAAUCUUUAUAUUUUCACUAUCUGUUUCAACAAAUUUAUACACAUGGAAUUUGGUAAAUUUGUUUUCUUGAAAAAGUUGUUUCACUUAAACCAUUAUUUUUUAAUUUUCAUCAAUAAUCAGUAUUGUUAACCACAUAAAUUUUAAUUCCAUUAUUGUUCCCUGAAAAAUAAUUGCUCGGUAAAAGCGUGAUAAUGAAAUAGCAAAAUUCUUUGACAAUUUUGUUCAUGCAAUUAAAUGCCAAAUGUUGAGGUUGGGGAUCAUUGAAGAAGUUGAAUGGUCUUUGGCCAUUAUGAAUGGUCGAUCCGCAAUUCAUUCAUGAUUUGUCAAUAAUUGCUCAUGGAAAUGGCGGAUAUUUCACCGGAUUUUGGACCGCGAGCUUAAGGCGGUCCGUCCUUACACGCCAUCUGUUGAAAAUUUCAAAAUUGAAAUUCAAAUACACAUGCAUGCAUUCAACUUUGAAGAGGUAAAUUUGAAGAUAAAUUCCUUGCAUGCAAAUUUCAAGCACACCAAUAUUGAGCUAGCGUGAUCCAAUUGCAUGUGCUAAUUAUGUUGAUCGGUGUUGACUUAUAUUGAUCGGCUUUUAUUUAUAUUAAAUUAUAUUUAAUAUUAAAUUAUAUUAAAUAGUUUAAGAUAUUAAAUUAUUUUAUAUUUUAUAUUAAAUAUAAAUCAUGAAUUGUUUUAGAACUUUUUGAAAUUAAAAAAGUUUGAUAUUAAUAUUAAAUUAUAUUUGAUUAUUAAUAUAGAUAAUUUAAUAUUUAAGGCAAAGGAUAAAUUUGUCCAAAAACAAUUACAAUUCAUUUCCCUAUUAAAUUUUAUGUCAAACCAAAUAAUAAAAUUUAAUUUCACUAUUCUCUUCCACUCCUCUCUUCUCCUUUCCCUUCCAUUCCACUCUUUUCCUCUCCUUCCCUUUCUUAAAACCAAACACCACCUUAUAGCUAUUAUCGUCGCAAGCAUAGCGGAACCCAAUCUCAUGCUCACGAUAGCACAACGUGGCUUACGGUGGCACCACGAUGUCCCCAGACUCAUAGACAAGCUUCGCAUAUCGACAGCCCGUACAGUAUAGCGGAUGCAUGUCUAAGCCUCACGAUUCCAUAACACAGCUAGGCUUAAGGCCAACUACUGGCUAUACUGACUACUUACUAUUGUUCUAGAGCGGGGAAAGUCUUCAAGAAUGCUGCUACCGAAUGAAGUUCGUCUUUCCCCCCUUUCCCUAUAAUAAAGUGCAGGCCCCCGUAGAUAGAUAUCCCAUAUAACCCCUCCUCACGUCGACUUUUUGCCGUUGAAUCCCGAAGAAAGAAUAAAAUAGACAAAAUUCCUAACAAAAAGAUAGUGAUGGUUCCUCUUUGAGGGCCCGAAGGGCAACGUACCUAAUAGAUAAAGGAUUUUUCAAACGGGAACUCAUCUUGUACCGUAACUUAAACAAUCAUCGUAGGAAGGGCCGGAAACUUGCGUUUUCUUAUGAUAGAUUGUACCAUGAUUAUCUUCUAUUUAUAUUCUCUAGUCUAUCUUUCUUCAAGUGAGAUAGUUGAGCCCGCCCCAAGCGGAACCACAUGAGUUCACCGGGGUUGAGCACGGUCCGCCAAAAUCGGCAUAGGUUAGGUGCUAUUGAUGGAACAUGGUAAGCCUAUCUUUCUUCUCCAUAUGGAAGUGCUGUGGGAUUAAAGGAGUUGGAAGAUGAGCAGGAGUAUUCUCAAUCGACACUCUUAAAAAAGAUAAUAGGUAAUAUGAUAAAGAAUAAGAACAACAAAAGCAAGUCUUUUGAGUAUAAUCCUGGUAUCUUUCUACAAUCGUCUUUGUGGCGCAGACCGAUCAAUCCCCGAAAUAAGAUCACUUAAAGGAAAGGAAUCGAAAUAAGACAGGUCUAUAUUCCUAUAGAAAGAAAAGCCCUUUCCCUCCCUGCACGAGUGAGUUGCCAAGUGCCUCCCAGGAGGGCAGUCUACCACAAGAUCUUACUCAUGAAUGUCAAGGAAGAAAAAAAAAGACAUGUAGGUUUGUAAACUAAAGCCAGAAGCCCGGGAAGAGGUGUUCUCCAUUAGUAGAAGUAAGCGGCUGAGUUAGCAAAGCCUACCCUACUAAUUUAUUGUAUAGUAGCGCCUUUUCCUUUUUGAAUAUAACUAAGGCUAGCCCGCUGGUAGUAGAAGGAAGCAGAGAUUCAGGCAGUUAGGCAUCAGUUUGAGUUCGAGAUCGAGACCCCAUAGAUAAGGUAGGUGUUAAUAGAUCAGUUCGGUCUAUGUGGCUGUCGAGUAAUCGUAGGUAAGUAGCAGCUAUCUCCGACUGAGCAGGUGUAUGGGGAAGAAAAGACAUAACCAAAAAAAUUGUGUAAAAUAAAUGAAUUUAUCCAGUUGAGGCAUGCUUGAUUGCGCAUUCCACUGACCUUUCCAUUACCGUGGGAAAGCCUCACUCUCGAUGAAACGGAUAACAAUCUGAAUAAGCGGUCGUCGUCCAGCGGUCGGUAGCUCUACUAAGCGAAUAACCGCUCGCUGCCUUUUCUUUGCGAAUAACAUGUGCGGGUAGCCCAGGAGAAGAGAAGCAAGCUACCUUCGCCUACCUCCCCGCCGCUCAUGACAAGCGAGCAGCAGACUAGGUUUCAUUAUUAUAUAGGACUUCUUUUGUGCUACCACACCUCUCUUGACCUCUCUUGCUUCUCGAGAAAGUACAAGGGUCGCCGAAGGUGAGGGAAGAGAUAUCCAAUUUGAUAUCUUAUGAUAUAUUGAGGAUGCUGCAGCAGUUUGGUUUCACUUCUAGAUAGUGUGAGUGGAUCAGGGCUUCCAAAACUUUUCUUUUUUCGGUAUGCCGCUCCGCGAGCAAGGAGUGCCACGCACGAGCGGAGCGAAAACAAAGCCGGUCAAAGAUUCCAUUGGAAAGGUAGAUGACAUUUCUGCUGUUUCGGUAAUGCCUGAACAGGGGUAGCCCAACCUUAGUCUAACUAAGUAUUCUAUCCAUACUAUGACACUGCGCAAAAGAACCAGGUAUAGUGUGAAAUGUGAUAAUAUAAAUAGGGGCGUGCCACAUUCUUGGUUUAAGUAUACUAGAACAUAUUCCAUUUUGUUGACGGUGAAUGCCUGUCGAGCCACUAGCGGAAAAAUAAUAAAAAAAGUUUCUAAAAAUAAAAAAUACUCAAAAAUAAUUGAUAAGGGGGGUUGAGCAUCCUUUGUAGAGAACUUUGCUGGCGCUACGCUAUCACGCUACAACUAGCAGCCCUUUUUUGCUAUUUUUAUCUAUUAUUAGUUAGGGCUUUUCCUUAACUAAUAGCGAGAGAGGGAGUGAAAGAGGCUGGAAAGUAUGAAGCAAGUUCUAUGCAAUUGAGCUCGACUGAAAGGAAGAUUUCUUACUUAGGCCCAGGAGAGGAGGGCUCUUAGGGAUUGGGGGAGACGAGUGGAUUAUAGAGCUAUGAGUGGAUCGAGGGUUUGUCCAUUGGGAUUGGUUUGAUAUGGUUUACGUGUUAUUGGUUCCCGGAAGAGUUAAUAUCUCCAUUAACUAAACCCUUUCUUACCCUAGGAUAGAUUCAUGAAAUGAGCAAGCAUCUAAUAUAUUUUACACCUUUUCCUAACGCCUAUGUGACUUUCCAAAGCCGUCGCUUCGUAUUUCUUGCUUAAAGCGCCGCAACUUAUACGCUUUAAAGCUGCGCUUUAAACUUGACGGCAUUUGAGCAUCCGUUUUCUUGCUCUUUGUCCUGGAGGCUCUCCGGCCGGAGAGAGGCUUGCUAUUGUAACCUUUACAAGCCAUGAUCUAAAAGUGAUUGCCCCCCAGGCGAGAAAGACUAAUCUUCAAAUUCCGCUUGAAAACGAGUCUCGUCCUUGCUUUUCUAAUAAGUUACUAUCCCCAACAGAAUUGGAACUCUAGUUGUUCAAGUUUCGUUCACCUCAUUUUCCUUCCAAUUAGUGAAAUUCUAUCUAUUUCUUUCUUGGGGAAUUGUGGUCGGCCCCGACUAGAUUACCUGGACCUGAAGAAAGACAUGCUUUCGCAAUGAAAUCUUUCUCCAGAUAAUGCCUUGAUUACAUAAAUAAUCUACUCCGCUACACCUACCCGUGGUAUAAGUGUGUUCAAACACACCACGCCAUUUUUUUCCUUUUGAGAGGGUACUUCGAGUAGUGGGUACCUUGUAGGACCUCAACCCGCCUACUUGGGUCUUGUAUGGAUAUGCAUGAAGAUCUUUAGCUAACCCCUACCUUCUCUAAAUACCCAGGUUCUGUGAUAUCAGAUCGCAAUUCUGAUUCUUUUGCCAUCACCUUCUAUUACUUGCUUGGUCGAGCAUCAAUCAACACCUGACGAUGAGGAGAGUGAUCAAUUCACCAUGUACCUGAUUCAAUACAACUAUCUAGCCCUAUUAUCGAAGCACUUCUUUAUAUAUGUCGCCAUUUGACGAUCUAUCUUUAGUAGGUCGUCUAUUCUUUCUUACCGAGAAUCGAGCGCAAGGCUUGAAGACCUUACCGCAUUCCGGCCCCAGGGUUCUCAAUUGGUCCAUUCUCUCUUCUCUUUUACCAGUGAGUGGUGAGUUACAUAUGUACCUUUAGUAGUCUGUUAUCUCAUACGCUACCCUAACUACCAUAUGUACUUUUCCUCUGCCAUCUAAUCAACCCAUUGAUUCAGCCUUGGAAGGUGGUGCGUACCAAUGGCGUUUGUUAAGUCUUUGAUGAAGUGGUUUUCUUGCCUUACGAAGCCCUUCAAACUAUACUUACACCUCAGCAGCCGUUAAUAGCAAACCUAAGCUGGUGGAUCCUUGCGCUUUAUGAAAGUAUGCUGUACUGGCCUUCCUUCCCCUAGCUGUCAGUGAGACUUAUUUUCUUUAUUUUCAAGGCUUCUCAGACUCUUGUGGAUUCGCCUCUUUCUUCCCUCGCUUGUGACCAGCUUCUCUUGUUGUUGUUCCUAGAAAAAAGUAGAAGUCAUGUGACAAGCAGUGCUUUUUCUCAGCGUGUUCGUUCGAGUCGUGGAAGCGAAGCAAGGCUCGUUAUAGUGGAAAUAUGGAAUCUUCUAGAAAAAAGUGGAACCCACGCGCCUUUUCGCUUGAAAGAGCUUUGAUCACUACUGGUUGUAAACAAACCACUGUCUUGCCUCUGCUUUCUAUCGAGGUCCGCUCUCCCCGCUCCAUUCAUGGCUUGCUGUUCCCCAAACUCUUUCUGGCAAAACCCUCCGAAUUUUUAGAGAAAAACCACGCUAAAUUUUUUCGAGAUUUUGAAACUUAUUGCACCUAACCUUUGGGCAUAUCAAAACAAGAAAAGGCACUACCUGCAGAAGAGAAAGGGAGAGGAAAAACAGUACGCAUGUCAGUCUAUUCUACAUCAAUAUUGUUCAAGCGAAAAUCAAAAUAGGAUGUCUAUAUGAUGAAUUUCUAAAUAAAAAAGAAAUAGUGAGUGAGAAAGAAGAUGUGAGUCCAAAAGGCAACAAUCAAACGCCCCUUUAUUAGUAAGGUUGCUUGCUUGUCACAUAGGUCGUCUUUGGCUCGUCUCCUUCCAUGAUACGUACCUGGUAGUAGUAGUAGCCCGGCCGUAAAUCCAACUUCAAGAAGUAAAAGAAAAUCAAGACAGAUGCCGAGAGAAACUAUUAGACUUCUUUAUUGCGUUGCGAAGAGAGAUCUACCGUUUAUCCACCAAUUUGCCCUGCUCUUUAUGAGCUAAGUGAUUGACACUAAAAAGUGUAUAGAAGAACUACUGGAACACAAUUGAGGAGAUCUAAUAAUAAAAAAAUAAAAAAUAAAAACAAAAAAAUAAAAAAUAAAAAAAGAACAAAAGGACAAAAGAGUAAAAGGCAACCAAAACAUUGGUUGCCUGUGAUGGUCAAAAGGCCAUCACGCCUCCUGGCCAUCACACUUCUCAACAUUUAUUUACGUGAUGGUCAGGAGGCCAUCACGCCUCCUGGCCAUCACGCUUCUCAACAUUUAUUUACAUUAUAAAAAAUAAAAUAAUAAUAUAAUAAUAAAUUAAAUAAGAAUCAAAAGAAUGAAGAUGAGGCAAUUGUUGCCUAUAAAAGCCGGAGUAUUGGGAAGCUGUAGGGGGAGAGCUAUUUUGAGAGCUUAAGCCUAGAGAGAAUAGAGUGCAGCUGAAGAAUUUCUUUCUUUCUUUCUUUUUUUCUUUUCUUUUCUUGUUUCCAUUUGUAUCAAUUUUCUUUGUAAUAUAUUUCAAAAAGUUUAUCAAAUAAAAAGAGUAUUGUGUUUUCUUUCAAUAUGAGUAGCUAAUUUUAUUAAGCUGAGGUGAAGGGUGAAGCUCAAUGUUUCAAACUAUUAAUUAUUAUUAUUUUCUCAAAUGAGUUUUUAAGUUUAUUUAAUUCUUUUCUAAUUAUUUUUAUAUCAUGUUAAUUUAUAAAUCUCACUGGAUUUUAUGCUAUUUUGACAUAAUGUCGACACAUUAAUAUAGUGUGGCACAUUAGGUACUUUAUUCUAUAUUUAUCCAUACAUAUAAAAUUAAAUGAUAUAAUAAUUAAUUGGUAAAAGUGAGACCAAAUAUAAAUGAGAGAGUAUUAAAAUUAUAGUUUAAAUACAGAGAGUGGAUCCUAAACCUUAGCUUAUUUUUAAAUUGAUUUCAAAUAAUUUCUUUUCCCCACAAUUAAUUUUCUUAGUUUUACUAAAUUUAAAACUCCCUGUGGUUCGACCCCAGUCUCACCGGGUUAUAUUAUAACUAGACACUCUUAUACUUGAGAGUAAUACACUUUUGAGUCGUGUCAGUAAUGAUGGACAAUUUUGUGCUGUAUGAGACAAGUUAGAACAAAGAGCACAAACCUCAUUAGCUACACUAGGAUGAUGAUUCAUUGAUUGGUUCAGAGCUAAGGCAUCUACUUUCCUAGAAGGAGUAGAUAGAGUGGCUUUCACAUCAAAAUCAUCUUCAACUUCAUAUAGACCAUUUCUAGAAACUUGAGGCGAUUUCUCUCUUUGAUGUGAAAAAUUCGACUGUUGAGAAUUCUCAGAAAGUGAAUUAAAGAAAUCCCAUGUAGCCCUUUUAUGUAGGUUAAAAAAUCUCUCACCAUUCAUAAACUCUAUCAUAUGACGAUUCGACAUGGUUAAACCGUUAUAAAAGCAUUGUAUAAGUCUCUAUUUCUCAAAACCAUGGUGGGGACACUUGAGGAGUAAAUCAUUAAAUCUUUCCCAAUACUCAUAAAAUUGCUCACCCUCUCUUUGAUAAAUAUCACGUAUCUCUCUCCUAAGGGCAUUUGUUUUAGACAUAGGAAAAAACUUGGUGAGGAACUUGUUACUUAAUUCAUCCUGCGUAGUAAUAGACCCAGCAGGAAGUGAAUUCAACCAAGCUUUCGCUUUGUCUUUUAAUGAGAAAGGGAACAUACGAAGCCUAAUUGACUCAUCAUUAAAAUUUUGAAAACGGAAUGUAGAGCAUAUGUCAAGAAAUUUAUUAAUGUGCAAAUAUGGAUCCUCUCUCUCUAACCUAUGGAAAGAUGGUAAAAGUUUAAUGACAGAGGGCGUAAGUUCAAAGUGUGUUGCUGUAGUUUGUGGCAACACAAUACAAGAUGGUUGGUUGGAUGCAAGUGGUGAAAAAUAUUCUCUAAGGGUUUUCUUUGCUUGCACUGGUGGAAGUAUUGGCAAUAGUCUAUUAGGGUCAUCUAUCACUUCUGAAGAACUAUCUCGACUACUAUCAAUUUUUAACUCUUUUUUUACCAAACGAUUUGUUAAAUCGUGUGCCCAAAUACUCAUAAACUAACUAGAUAAGGAAAGAAAAAAUAAAAUACAAUAAAAUAAAAUAAAAUAAACCAACAACAAUGAAAAUAAACGAAAUUUAAAAAUAAAAGAAAUCAAACAACCAAACAAUGAAUUUAAAGACAAAUAAAAAUAAAAAUUAAAAAUAAUAAAAAAAUUAAAUAAAAGACAACCUAAAUUAUAACUAGUGGAAGAAUCAAAUCAACCUAAAUUAAACUGACUUUCUAGCACAAUCCCCAGCAACAGUGCCAAAAACUUGUUGUGAAAAAUUUUAAUAUACUUGCAAGCGCACGAAUCUAGAAAUACAAUAGUGGUAACGAGGUCGAACCCACAUGGAUUGUUAUAAAUUAAAAAGUCUAAUUUAAAUCUAAAAUUAAUAUUAAUUCUAAUCUAAUUGAGCAAAUCGAAUUUUUAAGAGAAAUUAAACUAAUUAAACUAUGAAAACAAUUAAAGCAAAUGAGAAAUCAAUAAGACAAAAAUUAUCAAGGUUUCAGAAUCCACCACUAUUCAACUAGUAAUUAUCUAAUUAUUAAUUAAUCCCCAAUUUUAGAGUGACAACUCGAAAUCAAUCUAUGUCAUCUUAUAAAUAUAACAAUUAAGCCCAAUUAAAAUUAAUUUUGUGUAGGUUCUUUUUCUUCUUAAUAGUUUGAUAUCUAGAGAUGGCCAAUGGGCCGGGUGGCACAUGGCACAGCACGGGCACGACACGUGUCCGUACGGUAUGGCAUGACACGAGCACGUUUCGGUGGGGCACGAGGAACAGCACGGCACGCAUGUGGGCCAUGCCGAGCCUAGAAUUUUAGGCACGCGGGCCUUAAAGCACAGCACGAUUAGAGAUGAGCCAAAACACGACACGCGAAAAAGCACGUAAUAUGCACGGUUCAUUGGUGGGCUAGCACGCGGCCUGUGGGCCAUCAAUAGCACGUGGGCCAAAAUAUAUCUAAGUAAAUUUUUUUAAUAAAAAGUAAAUAUAAAAUGUUAUGAAAUUAAAGUAAAAUAUCUUGAAAUUAAAUGUUUUAAUAUAUUUUUGGGAUAUUAUCAUUUUCCCACUAAUUUUAUUUAUGAUAUUUAUUAAAUGAAUAAUGUUAUUUAUGAUAUUUAAUUUUAUUUAUGAUAUUUAUUUAAUUAUUUAUUUAUGUUUAUAAUUUAUUAAAUGAAUAAGUAAAUAACUAAAUAUCAUGAUUUUAAUAAAUAAAAUUAUAAAUAUCAUAAAUUUAUAAAUGAUAAAUAAAAAAUAAAAAUUUUAACAACAUUAAUAAUAAAAUAUUUUUCAUAUGAAAUAUUUUUCACAUUAAUGUUAAAUCAUAACUUAGUUAAUAUUUAAUAGAGAUAUGUUUCAUUUGUGAAUGAAUUAUUUUUCAUAUUUAUACACAAGAAAAAUUUAUGAACGAAAUAUUUUUAUGAUAAAUUAAAAAUUACAUUUUCAUUAAAUGAAGUUCAAGUACAAUUAUAAUUUUAGUAAUUCAAAUAAAAUUAGGUGUAAUUUGCAUCACUACAGUUAACAGUACAUCCCAGCUAGGUUGGCACCUACUGAACCAUCUAUCAUUUGCAAAUUUACAACCUUCUCACUAAUAAAAUUUGUUUCAAAAAGUUACAAGAAAAAAAAGUCUCUAGUCUUUGGAAGUGGCUUCAAUGUUCAGUACUCUGCAUAAUCUGGAUCCACUUCAUCUUGAUCAACAUCCAAACUCUCAAUUUGUUUAAUUAAAGCAUUUUGCCAAUCUUGUUGCACUCGACGUUCAACAUCUUCCCAAUCUUUCAAACACAACAAAGAGUCUAAUGUCUCUUAUGACAAUCGUGACCGACGUUCAUCUAGAAUUCUGCCACCUGUACUAAAAGUUGAUUCUGAUGCUACAGUUGAAGCUGGAGGGGUUAGUAGAUCACGGGCCAUAAUGGAUAGUAUAGGGAAAAAAGAUGUCUUACCCAUCCAAAAUUCUAAAAUAUCAAAAUUUUGCAAUUGUGAAGGAGUUGCUAAAUCUUCAAGAUUGACAUAACAAUAUCUUUGCAAUUCAUUACGAUUAGUAUCAAUACUAGAGGCAACACCCUUACCUUUGAGUAACAAAAGGUGAGCUGGAUUUUUAUAAGAAGUCGAUGCAUGUUGAACAUUAGAAUAUGUAUUGCUUGAUCCGAAUUUAUUUCGAAAAAAAUUAAAAAGUUCAUGAAUAGAGGACAUAAUUGUAUCAAAAUUUGUAUCAAGCCCGGUUUGUAAAUUUUCACUAAUACCCUCAACUAAAUGUUUUGCACCAACUUCCUUGAUUGUAGAUCCAACACUGCUGCAAAAAUAAAUAGGUGGGGAAUAUCUUUCCAAUAUUUUUUGAAUUUUUCCUCCAUGGCAUCACAAAUAUUUUUAAACAUAUUCUCUCUAAAAGUCUUAAAAGUAUAACUCAUAAUAUACAAGUGCAUUAACACUCUACAUGCAGUAGGCUCAUAAACAGUAGAACAUGCAAGAGUAGCAUCAUAAGAUACCUUUAAAAAAUCCAUAAAUUUAAAUGCAACAUUCCAAUCAUAAUCAGUGAUAUGAUCAUCUUCAUCAUUCAUUCUCUCAUUGUAAAAAUUAGAAAUUGCUUCAGAAUAGUUUUGGCAAGAAAGCAACAUCAAAUACGUAGAAUUCCAACGAACUUUCAUGUCAAUGUUGAAUUUUCUCCUUUUAGUAGGCUCAUAAACAGUAGAACAUGCAAGAGUAGCAUCAUAAGAUACCUUUAAAAAAUCCAUAAAUUUAAAUGCAACAUUCCAAUCAUAAUCAGUGAUAUGAUAAUCUUCAUCAUUCAUUCUCUCAUUGUAAAAACUAGAAAUUGCUUCAGAAUAGUUUUGGCAAGAAAGCAACAUCAAAUACGUAGAAUUCCAACGAACUUUCAUGUCAAUGUUGAAUUUUCUCCUUUUCAAUCCAAAAAUUUUUAACGUAGACAAAAAUUGUUAACGUCUUGAAGGUGCUCUAAUAUAUAAAAUGGCUGCUCUAAUUUUUUCUAAAUAAUGAUUUAUAUGAGUCAUACCAGCUUGAACAAUUAAAUUAAUAAUAUGACACACACAUCUCACAUGAAAAAAUUUUGAACCACGUGCAGGCGUGGGAGUAGAAAUUAAUCUCAUGUAUAGAGUGUGAAGUCACACAAAAAUAACCAAGCAUAUUAAUACCAGUCCAACAAUCAGAAGAAAUUGAAAUAACACCAUUAAAAUUGAUAAAAGUAUUAAUUAAAAGUUUUUUCAUGUCAUGAAAAAAUUUAGUUAAAUCACGUUUUAAUGUAUUUCUAGGCACUUUCUUAAGUUGAGGCUGAACAUACCUUUGCAGAAAAUUUAUUAGAUGUUCAUCUUCUGAAAAUGUUAAAGGUUGUUCUGCUGCAACAAUAUACCGAGCCAAUCCUUCUCGCAUGUUCUGUUGUGAAUAUCUGAAUGAUGUUUUUCCGGAAGGUCCAGAACCAUAUUGUGAGAGUUGGGUUUGUGUUGGGUCUUGUGGCGCGUGUUUUGUCUGACAAGUUUCCAUAUGUCAUCUAAGAUGUCCAGUUCCACCAUUGCUUUUGACACCUAAAGCGGAUUGACAAUAUUUGCACACUGCUUGAUCCACCAUUUCACCUUUUUUGUUUUGACGUUUUUCCAAAGUAAAACAUGACCAAACAAUUGAUGUUCUUUGUCGUUUGGAGGUAGUAGUAGGAUCAGCAGUCGAAGAAGUAGAACCACUUUGACUUACUUGAGAAGUAGGAGGCGAUCGUUUAGGUGAGACAAUAAAUAUGUUACUUGGAUCAAAUUCUGGUGCAGCAAUUUCUUCAUUUGCAACUUCCUCCCACUCUUCAACAAAAUUAAAAUUCUCAUCUAACUCGAAAUGAGAGUGAGACAUUUUAUAUAAUUAGCGUUUUGGUAAAUAAAGGCGGCUAGAAUGUAUUUGUGCGGGUGAAAAAAAAGAAAAAAAUUAUUGAGCAAGAGAAUGGAGAUUCGUGUGUUAAAUGGUGUUGAAUGAUGUUUUUCUUUUGUUUGAGAUUUCAGUAACAAAGGGAAAUUGCUGGAAUUGUAGCAAAGUUUCGAGAAGAUUGGGCAAGCAGAGACUAGAGAUGACUGAUGAGACAAGAGAGAUAACGAGGAGAUAGAGAUUGAGAAGUGAGAUAAGUUCAAAAAUAAUUUAAUCAUUUAAAUAGAAUAAAAAAGUAAAAAUAUUAACAGUCAAAAAGGGGUAAACACGCAAAGCUUCCUGCAAAGCUGCAACUACAAAGCUUCCUGCAAAGCUGCAACUACAAAGCUUCCUACAACUCUGCAAGGCUACAGCAAAAUAAAUUGUUGCAUUUAAUAAUUCAUUUGUCCGUUGGAAUUGUAAGGUGAGUAAUUGAUUUAAUUUAAAAUUUUUUUUGUUAUUAAAAAUAAGAAAUAGUUAAUUGUUGAGGGACCUGUCUAUGGUACCGAUUUUGUAACAAACAUCUCCCGUCAUCCCACCAUCCGAUUGUCUAUUGUUUAGUUUCUCACCCCACAUCCAACCACAUCCAACGGCUGAUGCUGCAGCCUGUAGCUCACAGAUUCUGUAAGCUAGUCAAGUCCAAUUGUUGAGUGCCCAUGCUGUGAAAUUGACUAGUCACCUAGUCAUAUCAACUUUAUUGUUUUUUUUAAAGACAUAUCAACUUUAUUGUUAAUUUAAUUAAUUCAGAAUUUUUUUUGUCCGUUGGGUGAGUAAUGAAAUUAAUUUAGAAUUUUUUUGUCAUUAAAAAUCAGAAAACAUUAAUUACUAAUCGGAGCCCAACUGCCCAUGCUGUACAAUUGAGUAGUCAUAUCAAUUUUAUUGUUAAUUCAAAAAUUUUUGUCCAUUGGGUGAGUAAUAAAAUUAAUUUAGAAUUUUUUUCAUUAUUUAAUAAUUAGAAAAAAUUAAUUUCUAAGUGCACCGUUGUUAUUUAUUUUUUAAAAUAAUUUUAGUAAUUAAUUUUUUUUUCAAAACAACAUAUUAAAUUAAAACAAAUUAUGGGUCAUUGUUACAAGAGAAUUAUGCAACUAUCACAAUGUUAAUAAAUCCUAUCACAAGUGUGUUGAUGAGAUAAUAUUAUAGUAGGAAUACGGGAGGAGCUUGCAUUCAUUAUGUAGAGUAUUUUAUUUCUUUGAAUUUAAAUUCUCAACUGUUGAUGAGAUAAUAUUAUAGUAGGUAUAGUGCAACUAUCACAAUGUUAAUAAAUCCUAUCACAAGUGUGUUGAUGAGAUAAUAUUAUAGUAGGAAUACGGGAGGAGCUUGCAUUCAUUAUGUAGAGUAUUUUAUUUCUUUGAAUUUAAAUUCUCAACUCAAAUUUUCAACACGGUAGUUGUCAUAUAGUGCACAUGCAGACGUGCAGAUUGCAGUGCAGCUGUGCAGUCAAUUCAAGUUUUAGGAUUUGAAAAUUGUGAAAGUUGCAACUUGCAAGCGUGUUGUAAAAUUGAGUAGUCAUGUCAAUUUUAUUGUUGCGUGACUGUAAAAUUUUAAAAUUAUGUGCAGUGUAAUCAAUUAAAAAUUUAAAAAAUUAUGAAAGUUAACCGACAAUGAUGUUUAAAUAAUAAAAAAUUGGGUUAAUUGUGCAUUUGUUUUAAUAUUUUCAUUUAUUUUUUAAAUAAUUUAAGAUCUUUUUCCUACAUGCCAACCAAGCACUUGCCUCAUGGCUCCACAAAAAUUAAGAUCUCAAGAUUUAUUCAUUCACAAAUAUUUAUAUUUCACUAAAUAUUUUUUUACUUACUCUUUUUACUCCCACCGACAAAGUAAAUAAAAUUAAUUUUUGUCUUUUUAUUACUAUCUAAUAUUAUAUAUACACGCCAUUAUGCUAUGAUGCUUCACAAUUCUUAUUCUUCUUCUUUUUCCUCUCAAACUUUCCAAUAUUUUAAAAGCCAAAAUCAUUAUGAAUCCACAACAACAUAAUAUGAAUGCAGAAGAACCUUAACACCCUCAAGAAUACAGUGUUGAUGUAGUUGGACCUCAACAAAAUGCUAGGCUAAAUCAGUCCAGAAGUCGUUCUUUAAAUGAGCUUUUUCAAAAUUUUACUACAAUAAGGGAGGAAAUAAUAGAUAAUAGUUUGCAUCAUCCUUACAAACGGAUGAUCUUGAGGUGCAACUAUUGUCAUCGAGAAGUUAUUUAUUCAGAUAGCCAUGGCACCUUGAGUUUACGUCGGCACGUGUCAAAUUGUUUAGCUCGCCACCUUAGCCGAGAUAGAAUUAACCUUGCUCGUUUCCCGUAUACAUAGUUGUGAUUAAUAAAUGUUUUUUUCGUGCUUGUUAUUCGUCAAUUGGUCGUAGUUCGCAUUUCGUAGUUGUAACUUGUAAGUUGUGACCUAUGAUUUGUUAUAUUGAUAUUUCGUAGUUAUGACUUAUUGUAAUUAUUAUUCGAGGAUUGUAUUUUUAAUUUUAAUUAAUUAUUAUUAUUAUCUAUGGAAUUAAAUUUAAUUAAAUUUAUGUAUUGUUGUGUUAUGAUUGAUUAUUGUGAAAUAAAAUAUAUAAUUGUGAAAUUGUGAUAAACUAAUAAUAAAAUGUUAAUUGCCUCUUAAUAAAAAUUAAUAUGAUUAUGAUUAUGAAUAUUAUUAUUAUUAUUAUUAUUAUGAUGUUGGUGGGCUUAAAAAAACACGCCAAGCACGUAGGCUUUUUUAGGCACGCUAAAAAAAAAAAAAGUUAGUGGGCUUUUUUUGGGCACGGCCCAUGGCACGGUACGAGCACGGCACGAGCCCGUGCUGGGCUCAACUGAAAAAAAUGUGGGCACGGCCUUGCUGGCCCACGAGCCCUUGUGGGCCGAUAGUUGCCGGCACGGCCCAUUGAACAUAUAAAGGGAAUUAAUUAAAUGAAAAAAUAAUUAUUUCAUUGAAUAGGGUUUCAUCCUUAACCUCAAUAUAAGAAAAUUAGUUGGAUAUACUUGAAUUAGGAGCAACAAAAGAAAUAAAAUCAGCCGUGGGAAGCCGAACUGCUGCAGCCAGUUUUCUCCCGAAUGGCGUCUGCUUUUUUUUUCCUUCCUCUGGCAGCUACUUUUCGUGUUCUCUUCUUUUUUCCUGGCGGCUAACCCCUAAUUCUUUUUAUACUGUAACGCCACCACAAAAUCCUCAAAUCAAAAGGAUUUUAAAAUAAGCCAAGCACAACCAACUUUAAGCCCAUGCAUGUGAAGCCCACUUGAAAUCAAUGGUCAAUGCUUUUCCAACUAUUCACGUGAGAUGCACACUUAGAAAGCCAAUUAUUCUCCUUUAAGCAUCCUUUUUCCUCUUUUCUUUUAUUCUUCACAAGCGGCAAUUAUUUCCAUAAACUCUAAUUUGUUUCCUUUUUAAACUCCCUUUCAUCAAUGGCUUCCACAAAUUGAUUUGUCCAAUUAUUAUUUCUUGUGCACUUUUCAUCCAUAAUCUCCAAUUAAUUCCCUAAUCAAUAAAAAAAAAUUAAUUAAAAAUAAUAAAUAAAAAUAACUAGCAAUUAUGUAAUUAAGGAUAAAAUAUGCAUAUAUUAUAUGCUCAUCAUUCCAUUUGGGUGUAUUGGGAUUGUGGGUUUUGUGAGUUUUUCCCACUUUUGUAAAUUCUCAUUAUUAGUAAAAUUAUCUUUCAGUUUUUGCCCGUGGACGUAGGCAUUACGCCGAACCACGUAAAUUAUUGUGUUCUAUUUUCUUUGCAUUUAUUUGUCACAUUUAUAUUUCUCCAAAAGUUACAGUCAUCGUAAUAUUGGUAAUUGUUCAACCUCGCAAUUCCGCAACACCAUCCUUACACUAUUAACAGAGAGAGAGAGAGAGAGAGAGAGAGAGAGAGAGAGAGAGAUAGUAAAGCAUCUCAAAAUGUAGAGAGCUUAAGAUUUAACUCUUUGAUAGAGAGUGCAGAGAAACAGAGUACUUACAAGUGAGUUCUUAAAAAGUUUGGGGAGUGUUCUCUUGAGUGUUCAGUUGAGAUCUAUAUUAUUUGUAGGGAUGUGAGAGAUUGUUUCCUUCAAGAGCGUUGAGAGUACUAAAUGUAUUUAAGUAUUUGGAAAAUAAGUUUUAAUUACUCAAAUUUAUACUCUAUUAAUUGUUAAUAAAAUAACUAUUCUCUCUUUGCCUCCUUGGAUGUUGGUAUCGUUGCCAAAUCAGGUUAAAGACAAGUGUUUUUAUCUUUUGUAAAUUAUCCAGUGCCUAUUGAUUGCACAUCUGCGCAUAAGUGGCAUUGAACUGCAACAAAUGACACUUUUGCACACAACACCACAUUGGAUACGUCACCGAGCAAGUUACCAGCAACUCGCAUCUUAUGAACCUAAUUUACAUGUGAAUAUAAAUGAGCGUGGCAUUGGCAUGUUACUAAAGAUAUUGUACAUAAAUCUACUAUUCUUAAUACCAACUAAAUAUUGGCCGUGUAUCAUUGUGCACAAAACUUUUAGGCAACAGCGAAGUCAGAUAACAGCGAAGUUAGAUAUUCAAUAUAGUUGGAGUUAUGUUCAAACAACAAUAUGAUUUAAAAAUUUUUAGUAAGUACUGAAAUUCUAAAUUGACUUCACUGAAAUAAUAUAAUUCAAUAAAUUCAUAAUCGUACUAAAUUAGUUUUCAUAAUCGUACUCAAUUAGCCAUAUACUUAUGGUAGCUCGAAGUUGUACAUGCUCUAAAACAUAGCGGCUACCUAAAACAAUUGUAUAAAAUUUUCGUUAUGAAAGAGACUCUAGGGUGCUGAUUUUUAUCAUCAACAAAUCCAAAAAAAAUGGCUAAUUGCCUUUUUUGACCAAACAAUAGAGAAAAAUUUGUAAACAGUCAAAUAAUAUUCUGUCAUAUGAGAGAGUAGAGGGUUAUAUUAAAUUAAAAAAUCAAUGGGACUCACUAAUGCUCCUAUCUUUGAACUCACUAUUCUACCACAAAACACCAAUAAAUUGCCUCAAUUAAAAUUUUCUCCAAACAAUGAUAGAGCAGAGAACCCCACUAAAUUAAAAUAAUUAGUAGGACCCACUAUUGGUGCCACUUUUGAACCACUGCUUUACUACAUGGCAAAACACUAGUGGUAUGUCUUACUUAAUUUUUUCUCCACAUUUAUACACUAAUAGGAAAAAUGACCUUCACUAAUGUUAAAAAAAAAAAUGAUUUGGAUCUAGCGCAGAACUGAGCUAUUCUCACCUCUUCAUAAUUGUUUUUAUACACGUGCAUGUAUAGAAUAUAUAGUUAGGAUUUAAGUAAUUUUAUAUUGUUAUCCAAAAACUACCAAACCCCCUAAAAAAAGAAGAAAAAUUGUGAUUGAAAACAUAAAGAGAUAGAGGAAUUAUUACCUAAUAGGAUUCAUAUCUUCUCAUAUUCUGGUAUCCAAUGUUUUAAAAAUCUAUAUGUGACAAUCAUCAAAAUGUAUGGUGAGGAUUUAUUUUCUCAUUAAAUAUAUUACAAGCCUCUUAAGAGAUGAACUAAUAAAAAACUCGCACUUUAUGAUUCCAUGGCUCCUAGUGGUUUUUUUCCCUCUCCAUCAAUAACUCAUCUUCUCCUCAACGAUUAAUCACUGCACACAAAAAAAGGAAAGAAAAAAUGAAGAAGGAAAGAGCAGGCAGCCAGUGCAAGAAGAAAAAUUAAAGAAGAAGAGCCUACGUUUGAGCGUGUACUUUAACAAGUACAAGUAUCCAAAGAGUUUAUUUUAAUUAAACCUAUGAAAGAAUAAAAUUCUCCUCUAUAGCAAUUUUAUUUUCAGAUGGCAGAUCGAAGGUCCAACUUUAGGAUGAUACAAACACCCAAGAACUAAUUUUAGCUGAGAGUAGCAGAUUAAUCAUACAUGAAGAGAAUUCUUAUGAUGUUGAAUCAAAUAUUGGCCAAGUAAUUAUUCACAUUCAAGAACCUAAUCAAACUACGACUUCCUACCUUCACAACUUCGGCAUUAUUUUUCUUUUGUUUUUAGAAAUUGCAAAGACUUGAUUUUGAAAGAGAUCAUAGCUGAUCAAAAGUAUUGUGCUCUGUAGAGUGAACUAGAGAACGUAAGAUUUUUGAGGGUUAGGGAAGAAAAAUAAGAGUUUAAGAGUUGUUAAAUAAAAUUCAAAUAAACAAAUCUUAGCCAUUCAUUUUGUUAAUAUCCACGUAUGAAGUAAAUCUUCAAAAAGUCAGAAAUUUCAUAUCAUCAGAGAAUUUGAAUCAGUUGGUUAUAUCUGUGAGCAAAAAUGGAUGAUUAAAUCCCCUAAGAACAUUUCCUAGAACACUAUUUCCAAUGGCAGCAUAAGCCAUGCAGGUUAAUAAAGAAAUGUAAAAUAAUGUUGUUCCACCAAUGACAUAUAAUGUCAUUUUCUUCAUCACUUCAUUUUGUGGUGGCUUUAAGGUAUCUUUCAAUUCACCAAGGAAGUAAUAGUAGUAUAUAAGUAUCAAUUGCUUAUUUAUUAAGAUGAUAUAUUGUCAUUUAUCUCCCUAACAUAUGGCCUUAAAGAAAAAUUUGAAUGCCGAAUAUACAAUAGAGAUGAGAUUUAGGAUAUUUUGUUCACCAAUAGACUGUUAUCAUUGAAUGUUCUCUAAAUUAUGAGUGUGAUAUAAACUUUGAAGUGGAUAGGUAUCACUACCGUAGAUUAUGAUGGACGAUGCCAUGGCUGGGCUUCUAAACUCAUGCCAAGCCGUUGGCAACAACGGGGGUGUGGUUGUAAAUGAACAAGAAAGUAAGGCAAGAUUGGCACGUAGGCUGCGGCGUGACAGCUAACGUAUGCUAUGAGACAAGUGUGGGGAGCGCCAGACAUUACACGCAGCCCACGCACGCCACAUCUUACAAGUGUGCAGGCGCAAAGCAUGCACACAAGCUGAGUUGGACAGAAUGCGAGAUUGCACAAGGUAGUAACGCUAAGGCAUGUAUGGGCAGCACAUAUGCUAGUAGGUAGUGGGCAUAAAAGUGUGCAAGGAAGCACGUAAAUGGGUAAUGUACAAUAGGGGUGGGCAUUCGGAUCGGGUUAACCCGAUCCAAAUCGAACCCGAAAUUUAUUUUGGGUUCGGUUUAGUUCUGGUUAACAUAUAAAAUCCGAACGGGUUGAAAAUUAUAACCUGAUCGGGUUUUAAAUUUGGUUCGGGUUGAACCCGAACCGAAUUUAAAAACUGAUCGGGUUGGACCUUAAAAAUUAAAUCUCUCUCUCACCAUUCACGCACGCCCAAUUCCAAUUUCAAGAUCCCUAAAGUAACUGCCUAAGCCUUCAAUAAUCCCCCUCUUCUCAUCUUCUUCCACAACAGCAGCACAACCCUCCUCCUAGCGCAGCCCACAGAUGUCCAGCCGACGCCCAUGCUGCGGCUCACUCACCUCACGACUAACUCACUCUCACUCCGCCGCCCGUUCGCUUUCGAUCCAGCUGUUGUCGCUUCUAUCUUUGCCAUCGCCUCCGACUGUUUCCAAUCCAUCUUUGCAACCAGUAGGUUACUUAUUAUUAUUUUACUAUUGUUAUUAAUUUAUUAUUAUUAUAAACAAUCGCCGUAUGUUCCUGGUUCAUGCUCUCGAUUGGUUUGUCAUGAAGCAAAAUGUAUUAAAUAUUAUUGAUUGAUGCAUGUCUUUCAUAGCAUAAAGUGGCUUAGAUUGGAGCUUUUCUGAAAAAAGUGAAAAAUUCAUUUAAUUAUUUAGUAUUCACGGAUAAGAAAUAGACUUCAUCUUUUUUCUAAUGCCACACGUCUGGUGAGCUUUGCCUGUGUGUUUUAGUUGGAUAAAAAUUGUUGCAAAUGUCACAUGGGAGGAGGGAAGCAUAAAAGGUUUAACUCGAAUGAACCCAAACUAUCAAACCGAACCAAUCCGAAUUGUGAACCCGAACCGAAUCGAAAUAAUUUUGGUUUGGUUCGGUUUGGGUUAGCAUUUUCAACCCGAUUGGGUUCAAUUCUUCAACCCGAACGAGUUGUAACCCAAACCGAAACCCGAACAAUCCGAACCGAAAUCUGAUUUGCCCACCCCUAAUGUGCAACACAUUACAUAGGGGCCAAACUACGCAAAGAUGAGAGGCAAGCAUUCGAAUUACACGUACAAGCUAUGUUCAAGCAAUGGCGGUCGAAUGUUAAGCAUGGUGGUUGGAGUUCUCUGAAAAUAGGUCCUAGAAACAAGCAUGAGUGGGCAGUUAUCGGUGCAACUUACAUGACAUGGCCUUAAAAUUCAUGCCUAGAAAUGUGUAGACAAGGGACGUAGGUAAUGGUGGUUACUCAUCACUUCUUUACUUCUAGGCUAUUGAGCAGUGAUUACCUUAUGAUUGGGGGAGUGAAGAUAUACUUCUUAAAAUCAUGCUUAGUGGUGCCUAGUCUUGAAGAAAAGAAAUAAGGUGGUGCAAGGGCAACAUGCCACGUCUCCUUAACAAAUGGGGGUGUUAUUUGCAACAUGUAUAUGUAGUGCAAAUGAGUGUGUGUUUUGAGGGAUUCGGAUUUUGGUAGAAUGAGUGGCCCUUGAGCAUCCAAAUCAUAGAGUUAUCUUAUAAUAUUUUCUUAUUGUGGCAGCAAAUAUUUGGGGGUUGAUACCUCUCUAAAGAAUAAUAUUGUGUGUCCUUGUUGUUUUGUUUUCUAUUCUUUGUUGUUAGUUUGACUAGUCUCUUGUGAUAAUCUCUGUUGUGGGUUCCUUUUAUUGGCAUUAUCGAGUAGUUGGCUAAAUCGAGACUUAACGCCAUCACGCGGGUUGCUACAUCUUCAGAGAAAACUCGGUGACAAUUGGUAUCUGGGUAAAGGUUGCUUUAAUUGUUGGAACAACUGGUAUUAGGGCAAAGGUUAUUUCAGUUGUUAGAACAAUUGCUAUAAGAUCAAAGGUUGUUUCAGUUGGUGGAACAAUUUGGUACCAAAGCAGCUGUUACAAAGUAAGAUUACAUUAAUGUUGGUGACAAAUGAUUUCAAGGCUUGGUUAAAAUCAUUUCGAGAAUAGCUCACUACGUGGUUUCAAGGCAUCUAUGGUGUAAGAUCUAAUUUGUGUAAUUUCGGGGGAAAUUGAUAAUAACGCAUAGAUUGUAUGACUAGCAGUGAAACCUAACAUGAUGAGAGAAUCACGAAAGGACAAGCUGUUGUGAUUGGAUGCUAUCAUAGGUAUUUUACAGCCUUACUUGGAGAGUUCGACAUAAAACAUGACAAUCAACUUAAUAGAGAUAGAAAGUGUGAAUAAAAAACUUGCUCUGAGUUUGUAAAUGAUUUUAUAGAGAAGAGAGAUGAUGCUCGUAGGCGAACGUGCUGAAAAGAAAUAAUGCUCGUAGGCAUUGCUUCACGUUCAAACGAUGGGCCUUUAAAGGUCAAGGUUUUAGAAUCUAAGGCUUAUAGUAGAACUCAAAACACUAAGAAGUUGGAGAAUUUUUAGUAAGACGUACAACAUCAUUUUUUAGCUAUUCGAGUACCAUAGACAAAGCAUGUCACUAUCACAAGCAUAUACUUAGAGGGUGAUACUAAGUUGUGGCAACGGGGUAGGCUUUAACAGGAUACUGAAGCACACAUCGAUUGGCAAUUGAAAAAUAGGACACACUUAAAGGAGAAGUAAAGGGCCAGUUUUUAUGCAGGAAUGGUAUUUGGCUUAGAGGGAAGAGCUUGAAAAAGCUAAAGCACAUCGGCUCAGUGAGAGAUUACGUUAAAGAGUUUAUUUCAUUGAUGUUGGACAUCAAGAACAUAUAAAGUGAGGGCAAGCUCUUCAAUUUUAUAUUAGUAUACACUAAUGGGCUUAAAUGAAAUUACAGAAGUAGGUUGUAAGGUACUUACCAUCGGCAAUUCCAACUGCUGAUAGCUUGGUGCAUUUUAGACCCAUGAAUAUUUAUCCUUUCGAAUAUAAGAAAUCAAAAGAUAGCAAGAAAGGCAACACUUCGUGUGAUAGUGGGAUGGAAAAUGGCAACCACAUCAAAGCCAAGUAAAGGAACUGCAAGACAAAAAGGAUUCAGGGUACUUCAUUUGCGACUGACCACAUCAGACAAAAGAUUAUCUAAAGCCUGAGAUGCUUAAUGCUUUGGUUAAGGAAACAGAAGGGGAUUCUUUGAAACUUUCAGCUGCCAAAUUAGACGCAACGCGCAUAAAUCCAUUACGACUAUUAAACAACAUGGAUGUCGAGGUGAAGGAGGUACUCGUAAAUGAAGAGAAGCUAAAAAGUGUCUUGAUGGGUAAAUCCUAAUUAGGUAGACUGAUUUGUAUAGUAAUGAUGGUUAACAGAGUAGAAAUAAGGGCAAUAAUAGACAUGGGGUGGAAUGGUGAAACAUGUAAAGGCGAAUUUGACACCACGUCUUGGACUGCAAAUUGCUAGAGCUAACAUUGACGUGAGUUUUGCUUCUAAUAAUCAAGUAGUUCUAGAGGAUAUAGUAGUAGCCAACCUAAGUAUGGGAACUUGGGCGCUGGAUGCUAGGUUUGUGAUUAUAUGAUCGACGAUAUUUGUUGUAAUUUUAGGAAUGGAGUUCUUAUACAAUUCAGAGGUACAUUUACUAUCUCACUUAUUAUGCAUUUAGAUUAGGAGCAUGAAAGAGUCGUGCACAAUCAAAUGUGAGUUUAAAAGUUUCAGUAGGUUGGGACCACCAUCCCAAACUACCAUAACUAGUGUAAAUUGAGGGAAUUUCAUGAUCAUGUCCAUAGUUAUGGAGCACCUUCAAUUUAAGAAGGGAAUUUAUGGGUAUACCAAGGUGUUCAAGAAUGUGGAAGACUUUCGGAAAAAGUAUCGGCUGUGGUAUACCAAUGUCAUUCGAGCUAAAAUGGCGGUAAAAGGGCAUAGAAGUGUGGCGAGCAUUUUAAGGCAGCAAGCAAAAAUUUAGUAAGAGUUUCAGUGAUGGCUAUUUGGUUCUUAUUGGUGCCUAUUAGAGGUAACGGCAUUGUUCCUCAUUUAUUAGUGUGAAAUUAGGUGGAGUGAGCGUCGAAUAUUUGACGAGAAAGUUCAGUAUGGUGACCUGAAGUGGAUAAAGACAUAUGUAGCCCUAGAAUCUAUGAAAACUUUUGAUGUUCUUAGCGAAAUCGAAACAAAAGUUGAGCUUUUUUGUGCAAUUUCCAAGAAAAGCAAGCGGGAGCUUUUACGAUUGACAGAUGAAGAAACUAUUAGUCUAAAAUCAUUUAAUGCAGUCCCUUGGUGAUGUUAUAGCAUCUCUGGAAUUCAAUCAAAGGAGCACAGACACACUAUGGACAUAAAGAAGCUUAAGUCUAGAACUGAUUUACUAUGGUCAUUUUGCAUUAUUGGGAUUGUGAUCUGAAGGUGGAAGAAUCCUUGCAAAUUUGAUAAAAGAGCUAAAGUUGUGUGCAUGAUUGUUUGCGGGAAGUGUUAGUAUGUGUCAUUACUUGAGGGCAAGUAAUGGUUUAAGUUUGGGGGUGUGAUAACUCUAGGAAAUGAGAGUUAUUGCAUCAAUUCUAGACUUGAAUCAAGAUAAUUUAGAGAACAAAUAAGGUGUUUUUAUUAUAUUUUGGUUACAUUUUGCAUAAACAUUCAUUUUAGUUGAGUCUUAAUAAGUUUUGCUUGAAUCAAAGUAAUUUGUGCUAAAAACAUGUGCAUAAUUGUAGGUUUUCAGAAAGUCUUAAUUCAUGAGGGGAUGUUGAGACAUUAGAUGAGCAAGAAGAGGAAAAAAGAUGGCCAUAAAAGAAGUAAAGCACAAUCGGGAAUAAUGCAGUGUUGUUACGGAUGUUAGAGCAACCAGUGCUGUAUCAAUCUGGGAGCAAUGCGGGAGAAAACUUAGGCGUGGGUCAGCCACAUAAUUGCAAUCUACUUGUUUCCUAAUUUAACGCAUGCACGCUCAUGGGCUUUUGUUUACCCUAAUUUGCAAUAUAAAAGGGAGGCGUGCACCACAUAGGAAGGCAGCAAGGGAAUUAUCAUUAGAAUAAUUACAAAGGAAAGAAGAAGAAGAUCAAAAUUGUAGUGUGCUGUUUCGGCAACAUUGAGGAAUCGUGCAGAAUUAUUUGGAUUUUUCUUUCACCGUGCUCAACUUAUAUUUAUCUUCUUCCUUUAAUUGUUUUGAUAUAUCCCGUGAUCAAUAUAUUUUUGUUUAUUUUUCUCAUUUAGAUUAUGAACUAAAUUUACUUGUAGUUGAGUGACAAACAAUCCAAUAUGUUCUUUACUGUUCUUAUAUGUUGUUAUGACAUUGUUGUAGCAUUUUACUCUAGUAGUUUUUAUGAAUAUAAUUGUUAUUUCGGUUGACCACCCAUUUAAUAGCUUCAGUUAAGAUAGAGCAGGAAAAUGACAUGUCUUAGCGGAUAUUAUUAGAGUAUUACUUGAUCUUAAGUUGAGUUUCCUGGAUUAAGUUAUCUUGAAUCCCAUAAGGGCAAUACUUGAAGUUAAGAUUUGUGACACACUAGACAUAGGUGUUCACCUUGUAGAGUGGAGAGACUAAAGGUUAUAAUGCCAUACCAUAAGUAUAUUAGCAUUUGGUCAUUGUUAAUAGAUUUAAGGGUAUGAGACUUCCAAUAUGCAUAGCUGAGGAUGCAGAUUUAUUCUGCCCAGUGCUGAAGUACUUGCUGUAACAACUGGUGCUAACUUGAUAAACAACAGUCACCCCAUAAGGAGAGUUUGAUCAUUCAAUUACUAUAAUCUCAAUUAAAACUUAGACACAUUUAACCUAGUUUAUUUCGUUACGGUAUUGUUUUAUUUAAUUCUCUCACAAUCAUAAAUUACGAUAGAAAUUACUUCACAAUUGUUUGCUUCGGUCUUAAGUUGUUUUGCACUAUUGCGAUUGCUUUAGCAUUUCGAGUAACAUCAAUCCCUGUGGAGACGAUCUUGAAUACUCAUCACUUUAUUACUUGUGUAUACUUGCACAUUGGCAUUGGUAAUAAUUGCUUAUAAAAUUAACCAACAAGUUUUUGGCGCCGUUGCCGAGGAUUGAUUGUUUAUUUUUGAAGUGUGAAGUAAAUUUUGAUAGCGCCAAAUUUGACUUGAUUCAUUCUAUUUAUUGGCAGAUCGGUACAUGCGUGCGCAAUGACAGAUAUGUGGCAUUCCAAUUCGAUCCUGAGAUUGAAAGGACUGUCAGGAGACUGCAAAGAGAACAAAGGAAUUCAAACACUGUUUCAAGCAUGAAUAAUUUACAGGAUGCGGGAAAUUUGAAUCCUCACGGGCCCUUACAACCAAUCAACAUUCAAGAAGAGCAAAAUGAACAUGCUAACGAGAGACAGGCAGGCAAUAACAAUAUUAUCUACAUGGCUGAUGACAAAGACAUAGCUAUAAAAGAUUAUGUUGUGUUAACCCCUCAAGUUGUACACCCUGGGAUCAUCAGACCUGAAGUAGAAGUUGCAAAUUUUGAGUUGAAGCCAGUGAUGUUUCAAAUGUUACAAACAGUUGGUCAAUUCAAUGGAUUGCCAAAUGAAGAUCCUCAUCUCUAUCUUAAAUUGUUCUUGGAAGUAAGUGAUACUUUCAAGAUUACUGGAGCAACACAAGAUGCCUUAAGGCUGAGGCUUUUUUCUUAUUCCUUAAGAGAUCGAGCAAGAGCAUGGUUAAAUUUGUUACCAUCUGAUUCCAUUACUAUAUGGAAUGAAUUGGCUGAUAAAUUCCUAAUGAAAUAUUUCCCACCGAAAAAAAAUGCAAAGUUGCAGAAUGAGAUUACUUUCUUCCAUCAACUUGAAAAUGAGAGUUUGUACGAGACUUGGGAAAGAUUCAAAGAAUUGCUCAGAAGGUGUCCUCAUCAUGGUAUUCCUUGUUGCAUUCAAUUGGAAACUUUCUACAAUGGGUUGAAUCCGAGUACGAGGUUAAUGGUGGAUGCUUCAGCAAAUGGAGCCCUGUUAUCCAAAUCUUACACUGAAGCUUAUGAAAUUCUGGACAGAAUUGCCAAUAAUAAUUAUUAAUGGCCUUCAGCUAGGCAACCAGCAGCAAGAGGACCAGCAUGGGUACAUAACAUAGAUGCAAUUACAGCCUUAUCAGCGCAAGUAACCUCAUUGACUAACAUGGUAAAGGCCAUGACAUCUGCUCCAACAACAGUAAAGCAAGUUGCUAAAAUUUCUUGUGUAUACUGUGGUGAAGAACAUGACUUUGAUAAUUGUCUUGGAAAUCCAGCUUCAGUAAACUAUGUGGGUAAUUUCAAUCGACAACCUCAGAACAACCCAUAUUCAAAUACUUACAACUCUGGCUGGAAACAACACCCAAAUUUCUCAUGGAGCAGUCAGAAUCGAAAUGCUCCAGCAUUAAAUGGACAAAAUAGAAACCUACAACCACCUGGUUUUCAUCAGCAGAGUCAAGGGCAAAAGCAUAUCAGUCAGGAUCCAAUCACUUCACUGGAAGUACUGAUUAAGGAGUACAUUGCAAAGAAUGAAGCAAUUGUGCAGAGUCAAGCUGUAUCCUUGAGAAACCUGGAGAACCAAAUGGGGCAACUAGCCACAACAAUGAGCAGCAAAACUCAAGAAAGCUUACCUAGCAACACAGAAGACCCUAAAAGAGAGAGCAAAGAACACUGCAAGGUAAUUAAUUUGAGAUCUGGAAAGAAUGUUGAUACCCCAGUUGAUGUGACAAAAAAUGAGAUGAAAUUCAAUUCAGCACAAAAACCACCUCAAAAUGGAAGCAUGUUACAACAAGCCCCCCACCAAGACACUGGUUACAUGAGCCAAGCUACAGCAACUGCAGAGGAAAUUCAACCAGAACAAGUUGAAAAAGAGGUUGCAACACCAGUAGCCACAGCCUACACCAAACCAAACAAACAGAGUUUGAUACCUCCUGAAGCUACCCAGCAGUUUAGACAUCCACCACCUUUCCCACAAAGGUUCCAGAAGCAAAACCAAGACAAACAGUUCAGUAAAUUCCUGGAAGUGCUGAAGCAAUUACACAUAAAUAUACCUUUUGUGGAAGCUUUGGAUCAAAUGUCAAAUUAUGUGAAAUUUCUAAAAGACAUCUUGGCACGAAAAAGAAGGCUGGGAGAGUUUGAAACUGUUGCUUUAACACAGGAAAGCAGUCAUCUGCUCCAAAGUAAGAUUCCUACAAAAGUGAAAGAUCUAGGGAGUUUUACAAUACCCUGCUCUAUAGGAACUAGGUAUGCUGGCAGAGCACUUUGUGACCUGGGAGCUAGUAUUAAUUUGAUGCCAUUGUUUGUAUUUAAGCAGCUGAGAGUAUGGGAAUGCAGACCAACAACAGUCUCUUUGCAACUAGCUGACAGAUCUCAUGCAUACACUGAAGGAAAAAUAGAGGAUGUACUGGUGAAGGUUGACAAAUUCAUCUUUCCAGUGGAAUUCAUUGUACUGGACUUUGAAGCUAAUAAAUAGGUAUCCAUUAUACUUGGAAGACAUUUUCUAACAACUGGAAAGACUCUGAUAGAUGUGUAGAAAUGAGAGCUCACCAUGAGAGUAAAUGAUCAGCAAGUCACAUUUAAUGUACUAGAGGCUAUGAGGAACCCUGAUGAAGUAGAAGAUUGCAAUUUCCUAAGUGUAGUGGAUUUUGUUGUAGCAGAAAAAAUGGACAGAUGCUGCAGUAAUGCACUCGAAAAAGUCACUACCUUUGAGGAUGUAGAAGAGGAAGAUGUUGCAGCAAUUCAGACAAAUUGGAUAGAUGAAAGCAAUUUGAUAGGCACAACAGGUUUAUUGAACACCUGAAUCUUUCAGACAGGGAAGUAAAAACAACUUUACCAUCUAUUGAAUCACCUCCUAAUCUUGAAUUAAAACUGUUACCUUCACAUUUGAAGUAUGCUUAUCUUAGUCAAAACAACAUACUCGUUAUAAUCAUUUUUUCUACUUUGGAUGCAGGUUAAAAACAUAGUUUAGUAGAUUUGCUUGGAAAAUAUAGAAGAGCAAUUGGAUGGACCAUGACAGAUAUAAAUGGGAUAAGCCCAUCAAUAUGCAUGCACAAAAUCCUGUUAGAAGAUUGCUCCAACAAUUCGGUGGAGCACCAGAGAAGGUUGAACCCUAUUAUGAAAGAAGUGGUGAAGAAGGAAAUCAUCAAAUGGUUGGAUGCUGGAAUCAUAUACCCAAUAUCAGACAGUUCAUGGGUGAGUCUAGUUCAAUGUGUUCCAAAGAAGGGAGGGAUAACAGUAAUAGCUAAUGAGAAGGAUGAACUUAUUCCUACAAGGACAGUGACUGGAUGGAGAGUAUGUAUGGAUUACAGGAAGCUCAACAAAGCCACAAGGAAAUACCAUUUCCCACUUCUAUUUAUACAUCAGAUGCUGGACAAACUUGCUGGAAAACAGUACUAUUGUUUCUUAGAUGGGUAUUCAGGCUACAACCAGAUUGCUAUAGCUCUAGAAGAUCAGGAGAAGACUACAUUUACUUGUCCUUAUGGAACAUUUGCCUUCAGAAGAAUGCCCUUUGGGUUAUGCAAUGCUCCAGUAACCUUUCAGAGAUGCAUGAUGUCUAUAUUUUCUGAUAUGGUAGAGCAGACUUUAGAAGUUUUUAUGGAUGACUUCUCAGUUUUUGGAGAAAUAUACAAUGAUUGUUUACACAACUUGGAAGAAGUCCUUAAAAGAUGUGAGAUGACCAACUUAGUACUCAAUUGGGAAAAAUGCCAUUUCAUGGUGCAAGGAGGAAUAAUGUUGGGUCACAAGGUAUCCAAGGAUGGCAUAGAGGUAGACAAAGCCAAGAUAGAGGUAAUAGAUAAACUGCCACCUCCAACUUCAGUAAAGGGUAUUAGGAGUUUUUUGGGUCAUGCUGGAUUCUACAGAAGAUUUAUUAAGGAUUUUUCCAAAGUAGCUAAACCACUAUGCUCAUUGCUGGAACAUGACGAACCUUUUCACUUUGACAAAGAUUGCCUUCAAGCAUUUGGAGAAUUAAAUAAAGCUCUGAUCACUGCUCCAGUAGUUAUAUCUCCAGACUGGACUUUACCAUUUGAACUUAUGUGUGAUGCUAGUGAUCAUUCUGUGGGAGCAGUAUUAGGGCAAAUAAAGGAUAAGGUUUUUCAUUCCAUAUACUAUGCAAGCAAAACUUUUACUCAAACUCAGAUCAAUUACACCACUACAGAGAAAGAGUUGCUAGCAGUAGUAUUUACUUUUGACAAAUUCAGAGCUUACUUGGUGGGUACUAAAGUGACUGUUUACACAGACCAUGCAGCCAUCAAAUACUUAAUUUCAAAGAAGGAUGCCAAACCAAGAUUAAUCAGAUGGAUCUUAUUGCUUCAAGAAUUUGAUCUGGAAAUUAAAGAUAGAAAGGAGACUGAGAAUCAAGUGGCAGACCACUUAUCACGGCUGGAAGCAGACACUAGUACCUUGACAAGGAGGGGCAUCACUAAAACAUUUCCUGAUGAACAGCUGUUGGCAAUACAGCAAGCAUAGAUGCUGCAGCAGUCAGGACCCCCAUGGUAUGCAGAUUUUGCUAACUACAUAGUAAGUGGGAUGCUACCAACUGAGCUGAAGUUUCAGGAGAAAAAGAAAUUUCUUCAUGAUGUCUUGGGAAAGAUUCAAAGAAUUGCUCAGAAGGUGUCCUCAUCAUGGUAUUCCUUGUUGCAUUCAAUUGGAAACUUUCUACAAUGGGUUGAAUCCGAGUACGAGGUUAAUGGUGGAUGCUUCAGCAAAUGGAGCCCUGUUAUCCAAAUCUUACACUGAAGCUUAUGAAAUUCUGGACAGAAUUGCCAAUAAUAAUUAUUAAUGGCCUUCAGCUAGGCAACCAGCAGCAAGAGGACCAGCAUGGGUACAUAACAUAGAUGCAAUUACAGCCUUAUCAGCGCAAGUAACCUCAUUGACUAACAUGGUAAAGGCCAUGACAUCUGCUCCAACAACAGUAAAGCAAGUUGCUAAAAUUUCUUGUGUAUACUGUGGUGAAGAACAUGACUUUGAUAAUUGUCUUGGAAAUCCAGCUUCAGUAAACUAUGUGGGUAAUUUCAAUCGACAACCUCAGAACAACCCAUAUUCAAAUACUUACAACUCUGGCUGGAAACAACACCCAAAUUUCUCAUGGAGCAGUCAGAAUCGAAAUGCUCCAGCAUUAAAUGGACAAAAUAGAAACCUACAACCACCUGGUUUUCAUCAGCAGAGUCAAGGGCAAAAGCAUAUCAGUCAGGAUCCAAUCACUUCACUGGAAGUACUGAUUAAGGAGUACAUUGCAAAGAAUGAAGCAAUUGUGCAGAGUCAAGCUGUAUCCUUGAGAAACCUGGAGAACCAAAUGGGGCAACUAGCCACAACAAUGAGCAGCAAAACUCAAGAAAGCUUACCUAGCAACACAGAAGACCCUAAAAGAGAGAGCAAAGAACACUGCAAGGUAAUUAAUUUGAGAUCUGGAAAGAAUGUUGAUACCCCAGUUGAUGUGACAAAAAAUGAGAUGAAAUUCAAUUCAGCACAAAAACCACCUCAAAAUGGAAGCAUGUUACAACAAGCCCCCCACCAAGACACUGGUUACAUGAGCCAAGCUACAGCAACUGCAGAGGAAAUUCAACCAGAACAAGUUGAAAAAGAGGUUGCAACACCAGUAGCCACAGCCUACACCAAACCAAACAAACAGAGUUUGAUACCUCCUGAAGCUACCCAGCAGUUUAGACAUCCACCACCUUUCCCACAAAGGUUCCAGAAGCAAAACCAAGACAAACAGUUCAGUAAAUUCCUGGAAGUGCUGAAGCAAUUACACAUAAAUAUACCUUUUGUGGAAGCUUUGGAUCAAAUGUCAAAUUAUGUGAAAUUUCUAAAAGACAUCUUGGCACGAAAAAGAAGGCUGGGAGAGUUUGAAACUGUUGCUUUAACACAGGAAAGCAGUCAUCUGCUCCAAAGUAAGAUUCCUACAAAAGUGAAAGAUCUAGGGAGUUUUACAAUACCCUGCUCUAUAGGAACUAGGUAUGCUGGCAGAGCACUUUGUGACCUGGGAGCUAGUAUUAAUUUGAUGCCAUUGUUUGUAUUUAAGCAGCUGAGAGUAUGGGAAUGCAGACCAACAACAGUCUCUUUGCAACUAGCUGACAGAUCUCAUGCAUACACUGAAGGAAAAAUAGAGGAUGUACUGGUGAAGGUUGACAAAUUCAUCUUUCCAGUGGAAUUCAUUGUACUGGACUUUGAAGCUAAUAAAUAGGUAUCCAUUAUACUUGGAAGACAUUUUCUAACAACUGGAAAGACUCUGAUAGAUGUGUAGAAAUGAGAGCUCACCAUGAGAGUAAAUGAUCAGCAAGUCACAUUUAAUGUACUAGAGGCUAUGAGGAACCCUGAUGAAGUAGAAGAUUGCAAUUUCCUAAGUGUAGUGGAUUUUGUUGUAGCAGAAAAAAUGGACAGAUGCUGCAGUAAUGCACUCGAAAAAGUCACUACCUUUGAGGAUGUAGAAGAGGAAGAUGUUGCAGCAAUUCAGACAAAUUGGAUAGAUGAAAGCAAUUUGAUAGGCACAACAGGUUUAUUGAACACCUGAAUCUUUCAGACAGGGAAGUAAAAACAACUUUACCAUCUAUUGAAUCACCUCCUAAUCUUGAAUUAAAACUGUUACCUUCACAUUUGAAGUAUGCUUAUCUUAGUCAAAACAACAUACUCGUUAUAAUCAUUUUUUCUACUUUGGAUGCAGGUUAAAAACAUAGUUUAGUAGAUUUGCUUGGAAAAUAUAGAAGAGCAAUUGGAUGGACCAUGACAGAUAUAAAUGGGAUAAGCCCAUCAAUAUGCAUGCACAAAAUCCUGUUAGAAGAUUGCUCCAACAAUUCGGUGGAGCACCAGAGAAGGUUGAACCCUAUUAUGAAAGAAGUGGUGAAGAAGGAAAUCAUCAAAUGGUUGGAUGCUGGAAUCAUAUACCCAAUAUCAGACAGUUCAUGGGUGAGUCUAGUUCAAUGUGUUCCAAAGAAGGGAGGGAUAACAGUAAUAGCUAAUGAGAAGGAUGAACUUAUUCCUACAAGGACAGUGACUGGAUGGAGAGUAUGUAUGGAUUACAGGAAGCUCAACAAAGCCACAAGGAAAUACCAUUUCCCACUUCUAUUUAUACAUCAGAUGCUGGACAAACUUGCUGGAAAACAGUACUAUUGUUUCUUAGAUGGGUAUUCAGGCUACAACCAGAUUGCUAUAGCUCUAGAAGAUCAGGAGAAGACUACAUUUACUUGUCCUUAUGGAACAUUUGCCUUCAGAAGAAUGCCCUUUGGGUUAUGCAAUGCUCCAGUAACCUUUCAGAGAUGCAUGAUGUCUAUAUUUUCUGAUAUGGUAGAGCAGACUUUAGAAGUUUUUAUGGAUGACUUCUCAGUUUUUGGAGAAAUAUACAAUGAUUGUUUACACAACUUGGAAGAAGUCCUUAAAAGAUGUGAGAUGACCAACUUAGUACUCAAUCGGGAAAAGUGUCAUUUCAUGGUGCAAGAAGGAAUAGUGUUGGGUCACAAGGUAUCCAAGAAUGGCAUUGAGGUAGACAAAGCCAAGAUAGAGGUAAUAAAUAAACUGCCACCUCCAACUUCAGUAAAGGGUAUUAGGAGUUUUUUGGGUCAUGCUGGAUUCUACAGAAGAUUUAUUAAGGAUUUUUCCAAAGUAGCUAAACCACUAUGCUCAUUGCUGGAACAUGACGAACCUUUUCACUUUGACAAAGAUUGCCUUCAAGCAUUUGGAGAAUUAAAUAAAGCUCUGAUCACUGCUCCAGUAGUUAUAUCUCCAGACUGGACUUUACCAUUUGAACUUAUGUGUGAUGCUAGUGAUCAUUCUGUGGGAGCAGUAUUAGGGCAAAUAAAGGAUAAGGUUUUUCAUUCCAUAUACUAUGCAAGCAAAACUUUUACUCAAACUCAGAUCAAUUACACCACUACAGAGAAAGAGUUGCUAGCAGUAGUAUUUACUUUUGACAAAUUCAGAGCUUACUUGGUGGGUACUAAAGUGACUGUUUACACAGACCAUGCAGCCAUCAAAUACUUAAUUUCAAAGAAGGAUGCCAAACCAAGAUUAAUCAGAUGGAUCUUAUUGCUUCAAGAAUUUGAUCUGGAAAUUAAAGAUAGAAAGGAGACUGAGAAUCAAGUGGCAGACCACUUAUCACGGCUGGAAGCAGACACUAGUACCUUGACAAGGAGGGGCAUCACUAAAACAUUUCCUGAUGAACAGCUGUUGGCAAUACAGCAAGCAUAGAUGCUGCAGCAGUCAGGACCCCCAUGGUAUGCAGAUUUUGCUAACUACAUAGUAAGUGGGAUGCUACCAACUGAGCUGAAGUUUCAGGAGAAAAAGAAAUUUCUUCAUGAUGUUAGAAGUUAUCAGUGGGAUAAUCCACAUUUAUAUAAGUUAUGCUCAGAUCAAGUAAUACGAAGAUGUGCUUCCGAAGGAGAAAUACACCACAUACUAGAGUCAUGUCAUGCUGCAGCAUAUGGAGGACAUUUUGGUGGUCAUAGAAUAACUGCUAAAGUUCUGCAAUCAGGUUACUACUGGCCUACUAUUUUUAAAGAUGCUUAUCAAUUUGUUAAAUGUUGUGACAGGUGCCAAAUGAUAGGGAACAUAACUAAAAGACAUGAAAUGCCAUUGACUAACAUUCUAGAAGUGGAAUUUUUUGAUGUCUGGGGAAUAGAUUUUAUGGGACCUUUCCCACCAUCCUUUGGGAACUUAUAUAUCCUUGUUGUUGUGGAUUAUGUCUCCAAGUGGGUAGAAGUUGCAGCAUUACCUACCAAUGAUGCUAAAAUAGUGGUGGCUUUUCUACAGAAAAAUAUUUUUUCCAGGUUUGGCACUCCUAGAGCAAUUAUUAGUGAUGAGGGUACACAUUUUUGCAACAAAGUCUUUGCUGUAGCUAUGAUGAAAUAUGGAGUCAGACACAAGGUAGCAGCAGCAUAUCACCCACAAUCUAAUGGUCAGGCUGAAGUGUCCAGCAGAGAAAUUAAAAAGAUCUUAGAAAAAGUGGUGAACCUAAUGAGGAAGGAUUGGUCUUUACACUUACAUGACUCUCUAUGGGCCUAUAGAACAGCAUACAAAACUCCACUCGGCAUGUCUCCUUAUCGAAUUGUUUAUGGAAAGGCUUGUCAUUUGCCACUAGAGCUAGAGCAUAAAGCACACUGGGCACUGAAGAAAUUAAAUUGGGACAUUCAUGCUGCAGCAGAGCAAAGGAAGCUUCAACUUUGUGAGCUUGAUGAAUUACAACUAUUUUCAUAUAAAAAUGCAAGAAUCUAUAAAGAGAGGACAAAACACUAGCACGACAAACAUAUUCAACACAGGCAAUUCAACCCUGGUCAAUUAGUGGUGCUACACAAUACAAGACUAAGAUUAUUUCCGGAAAAGCUCAAGUCACGAUGGUCCGGCCCGUUUAAGCUGUUAAAAUUUUAUCCUCAUGGAGCUGUUGAUCUUCUAGAUGAACAAACAGGUCAUGAAUUCAAAGUUAAUGGACACAGGGUUAAACAUUACAUACAUCUAGCGGCCGAUUGUUCAAAUGAGGUGUUACUCCUUAAAGAACCCAGCUAUUGAACAAUGAACGAAGGUCAGGCUGAAGGACCUUAAAUCAAGCGCUCCAUGGGAGGCAACCCAUUGUGGAGACAACCAUUUCAAACCAGCUUUGAUCUCCUUUGAAUGCAGAGGUGAGCCACGUGUCAGAGGCUUUAGUGUAGAGCAUGUAACCGUUGAUAGAGUAAGCGAAUGGGUGCUGCAGCAACCAAUUUUACCGUUACAGUAAAUUAAAACAUAGAGUCUCUCACUUGCCAUUGGAGAUAAAUCAUGACAGAUGGAGGGACAUUAGCCUCAAUUUGUUACUGCUACAACAAUGGGGAGGUAUAAGAAAACAGCCAGCCGCCUCAAAGAUCCUUCACGCUUCCAGAGUUACCACGCCGAAGAAAAAUACGAGGAAUUCAUAGAGCCGCGUAAGAUUCUAGAAGAAAAAGGGUUUCAAUUUCCAGAACAACUCAUUGGAAUUGUGCAAACAAUUCACAAUGCUGCAGCAAAGCAAGGAUGGUUAGAGUUUUGCAACCACCCUCGAAAUCCUGUGCUACCAGUAGUCAAAAAAUUUUACGCCAAUUUGGUAAGCCCUGAUCAGCACAACAUUUGGGUAAGAAACACACUUGUUCCAUUAGACUCCCGCGUUAUAAAUGCUUUUUAUAAUUUACCUGCUGAAAUUAAUUGUGACUAUGCCAAGUUGCUUGAUAAAUUGACCUCGAAAAAGUGGAACACCAUUUUCACAACUCUUACAAUCGAAGGAGCAUCAUGGGCUAACGAGGACAGGCAUAUAGUUAAUAGGAUAGAUUUGAAACCUAUUGCUAAGGUGUGGGUGAAAUUUCUGAAAUCUAGGCUUAUGCCCACCAAUCACACUACUACGGUUUCACAAAAGAGGUUGGUCUUGUUAUAUGUCAUUGUUCGAGGGCUUCCCAUAGAUGUGGGUAGCAUCAUCACAAAAUAAAUCCGGGAUUGUGCAAUUAAGUCUCACCGAACUGCUGUCUUGCUAUUUCCUUUACUCAUCACCAGCAUUUGUGUAGUUUUCGGUGUUCGUCUUGACGCACGAGAUGACCAUGUCAAGAACAAUGGUGCCUUUACGGCACGCACCAUUGAGAGAGUUGCUGGUGAGAGUGCUGGAACAACCACUGAACCAGCUGUUGUAACAGGCACAAGAUUAGCUAUUGGCUUAGAACAGACUAUCCAGGCCCUCAGCACCAGUAUAACUCAAUGUGCGGAAGCUCAGCAGAGGGAAAACGAUCGGUUUUGGAGUUAUUUACAGCACAUGGACAACCAACUACACCAAUUUGCUCUGUACAUGAAAUGCACUCACAGGAACUUCCCUGAUUCAUUGCUCUAGCAGUAUAAUUUUGACAGUAACACCACAGGUGCUCCAGCAGAAGCCAGCGAAGAAGCCACUGCCACAGAUGAGCCAGUAGAAGAAACUGCAGUUAAACCACAAGCAGAGGUAGAAUCAGAAGAUGCUGAACCAUCUGACUCACCUGAGGAAGAAGGUGACAAGUCUGAGACUGAUAGCUCACCCACAGAGGCAGACGACAACUCGGAGAAAGAACGUGAGGAACCUUCCAUCCUAACUCAGUCCAAAACCAGGAAAAAGCGCAUUAUUCAAGAAGAGGAAGAGGGAGACCUUGAAGAGGAACCGUCUAUUCCGGUCCUUGCGAGAAAGGGAAAGGGCAAGGGUAAAGCAAAAAUGGUAACACCUUCAGCUUCUGACGAUGAAAUAGAGCAAGUUGAUUCCUAGCUGGCUGCUGCAGCAACCAGAGUUAUGCCUACACCUGCAGAAGCCAAGCAACUACUUGCUAUCAUUGCUGCCAUCACAACUGAGGGCCAGGCAGCUGAUGCAUCAACUCCAAUUCUUCCACAACAAACUCCUAACCAACAAAAGUAAAGGCAGUACGUCUAAAGGCACUGCUACAAUAACCCCAGCCACAACUCCUCUCACCAGCCCCAUGAAGAAAAAGACAAAGACAUUGCCAGCUACUUCCCCACAAGCUUCACCAAAGGAUAAGCUGCGCAGUGCAACCAAGAAGCGCUGAUAGCAUCCCGUCAUGUGCUGCAGUCCCCACCAUAGGGGAGUAUUCUUUCCUUGCUAGUUCAUUUCAUUAAAAAAAAUGUUUUUUUUCCUUUUGUUUGUCAAUUUGUGUGGUAUUUUCUAAGGUCUUCCAUAUCCUUGUCAGUUUGUGUGCCCUUGUUAUGUAUGCUUGUGAGGACACAGCAGCUCUCAAGUUUGGGGGGGUCGUGUUUCCGAAUGCAUGUGUUUAUGUUUGUGUUGUGUGAAGCUAUGUUAUCUAAUAUUUGUGUAUGGAUUUGAAAACCUAAUGAAGAUAAAUUGAGUGUUAUUCAGUAUUUAUGAGAAUGCCAAGUAAAGAUAGUUAUAGAUGGAAAUGAAAUUUUGUCCCGACACUUAGACUUUGGUUGAAUUGUAUGAGACUGAUAAAGCAGAGCCAAAAGAAUAGAAAAGAGCUUAAGUUUGGGGGGAGAAGCAAGUUUGAUUGACUGUGAUAUCUAUUAAAUAAACUAUGUUCCAAUGGCUCAAGUUGCUGAGUAACCAGAUCUGAGUAUGUACCCCAUAAGCAGAAUUGUGUUCAAAGGUAGUGAGAGUUAGAAGCAAUGUUGUAGCAAAUAAAUAAAUAAAAAAAAAAAGAAAAAGAAAAAGAAGUCAUCUGUCCAAGGCAUUGAGUAGCCAGGUAUGUUCAUGAGCCAUAUGUUCAGCCUUGAGUAAAAGAUAUCUGUAGAUAAGAUUAUACUGUAAAUAUUGAUGCAGCAACUCUGAUCUGGGCAUGCUUUGAGUAAUUGGGUGUCCUCAUUACAAGUGAUUGACAUUCACAUGAAAGAUAAAUGUUAUAGUGAGGAGGUUGAUUACUCCCUAGUUUAUCAAUAUUAAAAUCAUCAUAGUUUGAGUAUGUGAAACUUGUGCUACCCCAUUUAUGAAUGAAGUGUUAUCACUAUUGAAAUUCAUGUAGUCCCUUGGUGAUGUUAUAGCAUCUCUGGAAUUCAAUCAAAGGAGCACACACACACUAUGGACAUAAAGAAGCUUAAGUUUAGAACUGAUUUACUAUGGUCAUUUUGCAUGAUUGGGAUUGUGAUCUGAAGAUGGAAGAAUCCUUGCAAAUUUGAUAAAAGAGCUAAAGUUCUGUGCAUGAUUGUUUGCGGGAAGUGUUAGUAUGUGUCAUUACUUGAGGGCAAGUAAUUGUUUAAGUUUAGGGGUGUGAUAACUCUAGGAAAUGAGAGUUAUUACAUCAAUUUUAGACUUGAAUCAAGAUCAUUUAGAGAACAAAUAAGGUGUUUUUAUUACAUUUUGGUUACAUUUUGCAUAAACAUUCAUUUUAGUUGAGUUUUAAUAAGUUUUGCUUGAAUCAAAAUAAUUUGUGCUAAAAACAGGUGCAUAAUUGUAGGUUUUCAGAAAGUCUUAAUUCAUGAGGGGAUGUUGCAACAUUAGAUGAGUAAGAGGGGGAAAGAAGAUGGCCACAAAAAAAGUAAAGCACAAUCGGGAAUAAUGCAGUGUUGUUGCGGAUGUUAGAGCAACCAGUGUUGUAGCAAUCUGGGAGCAAUGUGGGAGAAAACUUAGGUGUGGGUUAGCCACAGAAUCGCAAUCUGCUUGUUUCCUAAUUUAACGCAUGCACGCUCAUGGGCUUUUGUUUACCCUAAUUUGCAAUAUAAAAGGGAGGCGUGCACAACAUAGGAAGGCGGCAAAGAAAUUAUCAUUAGAAUAAUUACAAAGGAAAGAAGAAGAAGAUCAUAAUUGUAGUGUGCUGUUUCGGCAACAUUGAAGAAUCGUGCAGAAUUAUUUGGAUUUGUCUUUCACCGUGCUCAACUUAUAUUUAUCUUCUUCCUUUAAUUAUUUUGAUGUAUCCCGUGAUCAAUAUAUUUUUGUUUAUUUUUCUCAUUCAGAUUAUGAACUAAAUUUACUUGUAGUUGAGUGACAAACAAUCCAAUGUGUUCUUGACUGUUCUUAUAUGUUGUUAUGGCAUUGCUGUAGCAUUUUACUUUAGUAGUUUUUAUGAAUAUAACUGUUAUUUAGGUUGACCACCCAUUUAAUAGCUUCAGUUAAGAUACAACAGCAAAAUGACAUGUCUUAGUGGAUAUUAUUAGAGUAUUACUUUUUGAUCUUAAGUUGAGUUUCAUGUAUUAAGUUAUCUUGAAUCCCAUAAGGGCAAUACUUGAAGUUAAGAUUUGUGACACACUAGACAUAGGUGUUCACCUUGUAGGGUAGAGAGACUAAAGGUUAUAAUGUCAUACCAUAAGUAUAUUAGUAACUGGUCAUUGUUUUAUAGAUUUAAGGGUAUGAGACUUCCAAUAUGCGAUAGCUGAGGAUGCAGAUUUAUUCUGCCCAGUGCUGCAGUACUUGCUGUAACAACUGGUGCUAACUUGAUAAACAACAGUCACCCCAUAAGGAGAGUUUGAUCAUUCAACUAUUAUAAUCUCAAUUGAAACUUAAACACAUUUAACCUAGUUUAUUUCGUUACGGUAUUGUUUUAUUUAAUUCUCUCACAAUCAUUAAUUACAAUAGAAAUUACUUCACAAUUGUUUGCUUCGGUCUUAAGUUAUUUUGCACUAUUGAAAUUGUUUUAGCAUUUCAUGUAGCAUCAAUCCCUGUGGAGACGAUCUUGAAUACUCAUCACUUUAUUACUUGUUGUGUAUACUUGCACAUUGGCAUUUGUAGUAAUUGCUUAUAAAAUUAACCAACACAAGACUUAGCUUGUGGCCUUGUGCCAAGCCGCUGGCAGCAUUAUGGGCAUACUUGUAGGCAUGAAUGAAAGUAACACUAGACUAGACUGUGAACUAGAGCGCGACAUCAAGCACAUGCUCCAAGACAAGUGCGGGGAGUGCGAGGCAAUGCUCGCAAGGAUGUGUGCUACCAUCUAUAUAAAUGUAGGGGCAUGGGAUGUAUAGAGCACACCUAUAGGCUAAGCUGGGUAGAAUACAGGAUGGCGCAAUGCAGUUGUGCUCAGGCUAAAUAGGCAACGCGUACGUUGGUUGGCAGCAGGUGCAAAAGCGUCCAAGGCAUUACGUAAAUGAGCAACGUGCCACAUAUAGAUAUAUACAUGGGAGUCAAACUAUAUAAAUAUGAGAGACAUUUGGUUUAUACAUGUGGCCUAUAUUUGGGCAAUAGCAGUCGAACACUGAGCAUGUUGGCUAGAAAAUUUCCAAGAAUGAGUCUUAGAAACAAAAAUGAGUGAGAUUUUUUGUGCAACGAACAAAAGACAUGGCCUUCAAACUCAUGCCUAAAAACAUGUAGACAAGAGAAGUAGACAGUGGCGAUUACUCAUUAUUUCCUUGCUUCUAGUGUAGUGGGCAGCGGUUGCCUAAUCCUUAAAGGAAUAGAGAUGUGAUUCCUAGAAUCAUGCUUAAUAGUGCCUAGUCUGGGGGGGAGGAAAUGAGGUGGCAUAAGGACAACAAGCCACCUCACCUUGACAAAAAGUGGUGUCAUAUGUAACAUGUAUAUAUAGUGUGAGUGCGUGUGUGUUUUAGGAGAUCUAAAUUUUAGUAAAAUGAGUGGUCCCUAAGCACACAAAACUUAGAGCUAUUUCGUAAUUUUUCUUAUUAUGGGAAUUGAAAAGUUACGGAUCAGUGCCUCCAUAAAAAGCAAUAUUGUGUGUUCUUGUUAUUUUUAUUCUUUUUUUUAUUGUUAGUUUGGUUUAUCUCUUGUGAUAACCUCUAUUACGGGCCUUUUGGGUUGCUUUCAUUAACGUUGUUGAGUGAUUGGCUAAGUGGGGGCUUAGCACCAUCACACAAGUUGUAAUGUCUUCAAACAAAACCAAGUGACAACUAGUAUCAGAGGAAAUGUUGCUUCAGUUGUUAGAACAAUUAGUGUUAGAGUAAAGAUUGCAUUAGUUGUUUGGACAACUAAUAUCAGAGCAUAGGUUGUUCCAGUUGGUAGAACAAUUUGGUAUCAAAACAACAAUUACAAAGCAAGGUUGCAUCAAUGUUGGUGACAAAUGAUUUCAAGGCUCGAUUAAAAUCAGUUCAAGGAUAAUUGAUUGUGUGAUUUUAGGGAAGCUACGAUGCAUGAGCUAGAUUGUGUAAUUUAUAGGGAAAUUAACAAUGGUACAUGAAUUGUGUGACUAGCGACUAAAACCAGCAUGGCAGGAGAAUCAAUAAAGGAUGAGUUAGAUGAUUGGACGCUAUUGUGGGUACUUUGUAGCCUUACUUGUAGAGUUUGGCAAAGAACACAAAAAUCAACUCAAUGAAGAUGGCAAGUAUGCAAAAAACUUGCAAGGAGUUUGGAAAUGAUUUCAUGAAGACGCUGAACAAGGUGAUGAAAAAUGUUGUUCAUAAGCGAAGGUGCUGAAAAUCAAUAUUAUAGAACUUGAAGAGAAAGUUGGGUUACUGAAACGCGCAGUAGGCAAUGCUUCAGAUUCUAAAGAUGGGCCUUUGAAGGUCAAGGUUUCAGAACCUAAGGCUUAUAGUAGAACUCAAAACGCUAGGGAAUUGGAGAAUUUUCUAUGAGAUGUGGAUUAGUGCUUUCUAGCUGCUCGAGUAUCAGAGAUGGAGCAUGUCACUAUCACGAGCAUGCACUUAGAAGGUGAUGCUAAGUUGUGGUAGUGGAGUAGGCUUCAAGAGGAUGUCGAAGCACAUAGUGAUCGGUAAUCGAAACAUGGGACACAUUAAUGCAAGAAUCGAAGGGUCAAUUCUAAUGGGAAAUCCUGGCUGGAUGAAGAUAGAAAUCUUCAAAGAGCUGAAGCAUGCCAAAGAUUUUAUUUAAUUGAUGUUGGACAUCAAGAGCAUGUCAGAUGAGGACAAACUCUUCAAUUUUAUAUUGAGACUGCAACCAUGGCCUCAAUCCAAAUUGUGGAAGCAAGUUGUGAGGGACUUGUCGAUGGCAAUUAUAGCUAUUGAUGGUUUAGUGGAUUUUAGAUUCAUGAACACUUCUCCUUAUGAAUUUAAGAAAUCAAAAGAUUGCAAGAAAGAAAAUUCUUAGCAUGAUGGUGGGAACAAGAAUGGCAGCCAAAACAAAGUCAAGCCACGAAAUCUACAAGAAUAGAAGAGCUUGGGGUACCUCAUUUGCAAUGGACCACGUCAGGAAAGGAUUGUCCAAAGCAUGAGAAACUGAAUGAUUUCGUGAACAAAACAAAAGGAGAGUGUACAAAACCUUCAGUUGCUGAAGUAUGUGCAACACAAAAGAAUCUGUUACAAUUGUUGAACAACAUGGAUAUCCACUAAAGUAUUAUUGUUUCUUAGAAUAUGUUCAAAUUUUGCUUUAUAUCCUCUACCUAUUAUUACAAUUUGUUCUUACUGUAAAUGUGUCACUUUGUAUAUACAAAUGAAAUGAGUUUAAAGAAUUUAUUAUUCACAGAUUCUCUAAUUUUGUACCUGACUUUCUACUUUCUAUUUCUGUAAAUUUUCUACUAGUAUACGUUGUUAUUUCUUCUUUCUCUUUUGACCUAUCUUCAUUGGGCUUUUGUAUUAGUAUUCUUGUCCAUCCUAAACUACUUGCAUUAGUUUAUAUAAUUUUAUAAUUAUUGUUUAUAGGCAAUGCUAAUAGCUUGAGAUUCCUAACUAUUCCUUUAAGUUUUUGUAUUAAUUUUUUAUCUUCUCUGGUAAAACAUUUCUAUCCAUUUUUACUUAACUUAUUAUAUAAAGGUUUUAUUAAUGUAUUAAGAUUUGGUAUAAAUUUCCUACUACAAUUUAAUAAUCCUAAGAAUUUUUGUAGUUCUGUAAUAUCUUCUAUUUUAUUAGGAAAUUCUAAUAUUUUACUAACUAUAUGUGGUUGUAAUUCUAUAGUUCCUCUAUCUAUUGUUAGUCCAAUUUUUUUUGUUUUAAUAAUUCAAUUUUCUUUUUAGAAAUUACUAUAUUAUUAUUCUUAAAACAAUCUAAAUUUUUAUGUAGGUGAGUUAUGUGCAAGAACUUGUUAUGACUAAAAACAAGAAUAUCAUUCAUAUAAACUAUACAAAAUUUUGUAAAGGGUUUCAGUAUUUUAUCUAUUCUACCUUAAAAAACUUGUGGUGCAUUUUUUAAUCCAAACAACAUUACUAACAGUUCAAAGUGUCCUUUAGAACAACUAAAAGUUGUCCAUUGAACAUAUUCUUCAUGGAGUCAUAUUUGCCAAAAACCACUUUUACAAUCAAAUUUAGAAAAAUAUCUAGUAUUUUGUAUACAAUUUACUAGCUCAUCUUUAUUAGGUACUUUAUAACUAUUGUCUAAAGUAUUGUCGUUUAAUCUUUUAUAAUUAAUUACCAUUCUAUUCUUACCUCUUUUUUGUUCACUAUGAUUAUUUACAAUAAAUAUUGAACUUCUAUGUCUACUUGUAUUAUUUCUUAUUACUAUUAUUUCUAAUAAUUCAUUUAUAUGCCUUUUAAAUUCAUUUUGUAUCUUUAAGCUAUAAGCUAAAUUAUGUGUUUUUAUUGUUAUAUUUGGAUUAAUAAUUUAGAAUUUACAUACUUCUUUAUUAUCUUUUCUAAUUGUGUUGUUGCCUAUUAUUUUUAAUUUUUCUUACUCUUCUACUUUUUUUUAUUAUGUCUACAACCCAUUUUUCACAUUUUAAACAUUUUACUUCUUUUUCUAUACUGACUUUGCUAUAUUUUUAUUCUUCUAAUAAAAAAUCGAAGAAUUCUAUAUCUACUUCUUUUCCUAGCAUUAAAGUCUUCUUUUUCAUAUGACAAAAUGUGUGUUUCAUAUUUGGGUUGAAUAAAUUUUGAUUUUUUAAAGAAAUUAACUCCAUUUUGAGUUAUUUAUAUAUUACAAUUAUUUCCUAAUAUAAAGUUUAAUCCUAAAAUAAAUUUAUAUCAUACUUUCUGAUUAGAAAUAAAUGUUUGUGGUAAAAUGUGUGUUUCUCCAUUUAUUCUAAUAGGUAUAUUAGCUAUACAUUCUAUUAUUUGCAUUAAUUUAAACUGUCUAAUAUUUACUGAAUUUCUUAACUUAUUUCUAUUUUCUUUAGGUACUAAACUAUCAUGUAUAAUACAUUAAUUUCUAAAUCUAAUUCUAUUAUUGUUAGAAAUUAGUGUCCUAGAAACUUAUACAUCAUUCUUUGGUAUAAAUUCUACAAAUUGUAAUAACAAAUUUGAAUUAGGAUAUAGAGAUAUAAACACAAAUAAAUUCUUUUGUAAUAGUUGCAAAGAUAAAUACCAAGAUAAAAAAGCAAUAGAAAUAAAUAGAGUAGGAAGUGAAUUAAUAAAUAUAGAUGUAGAAUUAUUAUUUAAAAAAGAAACAAUUUACACUAAAGCAAUGAUAGACACGGGAGCAAAUAAAUGUAUUAUACAUGAUAGUUUAGUACCUAAAGAAAAUAGAAAUAAGUUAAGAAAUCCAAUGAAUAUUAGACAGUUUAAUGGUGAAUUAAUGCAAAUAACAGAAUGUAUAAAUAAUGUACCUAUUAGAAUAAAUGGAGAAACACACAUUUUACCACAAACAUUUAUUUCUAAUCAGAAAGUAUGAUAUAAAUUUAUUUUAGGAUUAAACUUUAUAUUAGGAAAUAAUUGUAAUAUAUAAAUAACUCAAAAUGGAGUUAAUUUCUUUAAAAAAUCAAAAUUUAUUCAACCCAAAUAUGAAACACACAUUUUGUCAUAUGAAAAAGAAGACUUUAAUGCUAGGAAAAGAAGUAGAUAUAGAAUUCUUUGAUUUUUUAUUAGAAGAAUAAAAAGAUAGCAAAGUAGAAAGUACUAAAGAGCUAGCAGACGAUAGUAAGUUAGAAUUAGAAAGUGACAUAUGCACAUGAAUAAUAAGUUAGAAAGUACUAAAGUAGAAAUUUUAUACGAUGAAGAGAUAGACAACGAUUUAGAAGAUGUUAUGAGUAUAGAAAAAGAAGUAGAAUGUUUAGAAUGUGAAAAAUGGCUUGCAGACAUUAGAAAAAAAGUAGAAGAGUUAGAAAAAUUAGAAAUAAUAGGCAAGAGUCUAAUUAGAAAUAUAAAAAGAACUAUAUAAAUUAGAGAUUAUUAAUCCAAAUAUAACAAUAAAAACACAGGAUUUAGCUUAUAACUUAGACAAUAGAAAUGAAUUUAAAAUGCGCAUAAAUGAAUUAUUAGAAUUAAAAGUAAUGAGAAAUAGUACAAGUAGACAUAGAAGUACAACAUUUAUUGUAAAUAAUUAUAACAAAAAAGAGGUAAGAGUAGAAUGGUAAUUAAUUAUAAAAGAUUAAACUAUUAUACUUUAGACAAUAGUUAUAAGAUACAUAAUAAAGAUGAGCUAGUAAACUGUAUACAAACGCUAAAUAUUCACAAGGACAUUUUGAAUGGUUAGUAAUGUCUUUUGGAUUAAAAAAUGCAACUCAAAUUUUUCAAGCAAGAACGGAUAAAAUAUUAAAACAUUUUUCAUAAUUUUGUAUAGUUUAUAUAGAUGAUUUUUUUUUUUAGUCAUAAUAAGUUCAUGCACGUAACUCACUCACAAAAAAUUUUAUAUUGUUUUAAGAAUAAUAAUAUAGUAAUUUCUAAAAAGAAAAUUGAAUUAUUAAAACAAAAAAUAGAUUUUUUAGGACUAGCAAUUGACAAAGGAACUAUGGAAUUACAUCCACAUAUAUUUAGUAAAAUGUUAGAAUUUUCUGAUAAAAUAGAAGAUACCGAAGAACUAUAAAAAUUCUUAGGAUUAUUAAAUUAUAGUUAGAAAUUUAUAUCAAACCUUAGUACACUAACAAGACCUUUAUAUAAUAAGUUAAGUAAAAAUGGAGAGAAAUAUUUUAACAGUGAAGAUAUAAAAUUAGUACAAACUCUUAAAGGAAUAGUUAGGAAUCUUAAGCCAUUAGCAUUAUCUAUAGACAGUUAUUAUAAAAUUAUACAAUCUGAUGCAAUUAGUUUAGAAUGGAUAGGAAUACUAAUACAAAAGCCCAAUAAAGAUAGCUCAAAAGAGAAAGAAGAAAUAACAAUGUAUGGUAGUGAAAAUUUUAUAGAAAUAGAAAGUAGAAAGUCAAGUACAUAAUUAAAAAUUCUAAGAAUAAUAAAUUUUUUAAUCUCAUUACAUUUGUAUAUACAAAAUGAUAUAUUUACAAUAAGAACAGAUUAUAAUAAUAUUAUAAAAUUUUAUAAAAAAGUACAAAAGAAUAAUUUUUGAGAAGAAAAAUUCUUUUAUUAGUAAAAGAUGGAAUUAUUUCUUAGAAGAAAUAACAGGUAGAGAAUAUAAAGCAAAAUUUGAACAUAUAGUAGGAAAAUAUAAUAUUUUAGAUGAUAUUCUUUCAAGACUAAUUAUUCAAUAAUUAUUUUAUAGGAAUGGAGUGAUAUAUGAAUUUCGGUCCAAUAGCACUUAGAGAGUUCCCUUCAUGAACAAAUUUAAGGUUUAGAAGUAAAUAUCAAUUAUUGGACAAUCAACAAUCCAUCUUAGAUAAUUCGUAGAAUUGUAAUAACCUAAAAGAUAAAUUUAAAGUAGCCAAUGCACUCUUGCAUUACUUUAGACAGAUUAAUAAGCAUGUAGAAACUAAUCGUUUUGCAUUUUUUGUAUUAGUCAGAGGUAGACAACUAGGCAUUUAUAGACAGUCGAGAGAGAUAGUUGAUCUAACAAUCAAUUAUCCUUAUCCAUACUAAGGAGGUUUUUAUAUAUUUCAUGAAGAAAUAGAAUUUGCUAGACAAAAGAUAGGACCAAAUACAAUGUUAGAUAUUUAAUUAACCUUUUAACAGUGCAUCAACAUCAUCAAACAUAUAAUUAAAUAAUUCUUUAGACAAUGCAUCAUCAUUAUCAUCAUCAUCUAUACAGUUUUGCAACCAUUGUGAAAUUAUGACAUACACAAUUAGAAAACUUAAUGAUACUAGACAUCAUCUAGACAGUGUAAAUGAAAAAUGUAAACAAAAAAUGAUUGCAUUAGAAAGUGAAGAUAAAGAGUUAAUUGGACAGAAUAUUAAAUUACCAAAUAAAUAUCAUAUUCUACUAUUAGAUCACCAAAAAACCCAAAAAUAAAAACAACUACUGAAACAAUUAUUUAAUCAUAUCCGAGCAGGAUAAAUUAAUAAAAAUCCACCAUAUUUCUUCCUUCCUUGGUGGCAACAUAGACAUUAUAAAAGAAAAAAUAGUAGAAAAUCUAUACCAAGACUUUGUUUCUUUAGCCAAUCAAUUAUUUUAUAGUCAGUUAAAUUUCUUAAUCUAAUUUGUACUUAGAUGGUCAGAAUUAAGGAAUAUUACCCCUCUUGGACAUGAUUUGUCUAUAAUUUCCUUUGAUUAUUCUUUAGCCAAAACCCUAGACAAUGAAGAUUUAUUAUUAAAGGUUAUCAGUUUUGGAAUGAUAUGCACUAUUUAUAUUUUCGGCUUAGAAAAAUUUAAAUUAUUUCCAUCAAUGUUAAAUAGAGCCGUAUCUAUUAUAAAACCUCACUUUUGAUAAUAAAUUUCCAUUUUUUACCACCAAGACCCCAAGUGAUUAAUAAAAUGAAAAUAGGUGUUAUAAUACUAGCAUAUCAUUUCAUUUUUAUAAGCGAAGGAGUCAAAAAGUUUAGAAGAAGAAUUUAUCAUGAUAAGCCCAACUUCUCUACAAAAGAUUUAUAUAGAAGAACACAUGACAUGUCAGUCUUUUAUGAAUGGGUGGACACUCAUGAUAAGAUCAUAGCCCAAGGAGAACAUUAUACUAUUAUAGCCAAAGAGCAUCUUGUUCGUGAGGAACAACUUAUUCCUUCGCUGCAAGUAAAAGUUGGCUAUCCAAAAAAAAUGUGAAGUAUACUUGGAGGCACUAAUCGGGAUUAAUGACAUGCCAUCAUCAAGAGAAGGAUCUGAAGCUAUGAGUCAUCAAUCUUUGAAUGAAAGCAUAGCUGAAGCUGUUGAUGAAAUGAUUGAUAGAUAAGCGACCCCACCAAAAAUAUUAGCUAGCAUUGGCCAGUUAGCAGUAGUUAAAAAGUCAAGUAAUCAGUCUUUAUCAUUGUCACGUUUUAUAGAUGCCCUUACUUUACUCAUUACCCGACAAGGAAAAAACUACGAAGGCAUCUUUGUUGCUUUGUCAUUUUAUUACCGACAGUGAAUUAGGUUAAAAAAAAAUAGUAGCCAGUCGCUGUUUGUCGACAGUGAGUCAUUACAAAAUUAUAGUAGCCAGUCAAUCCUUUUAUUGUUUACUUUUAGACAAUCUUUUGGCAAUUUGCCAAGAGUAAAGUAUACUAUCAAAAUCUUAUCUCUUGUACAUCGAGUCAAUAAUUGUAUCAAGUCUUCAAGUUGUAUAUCUAGACCUCUCAAGUUUAAAAAGAAGAUAGGUGAAGUCAUAGAAAAAAGGCAAUUCUGCACACACAAUCAAAAAAGCAAUAAACGUUUCUUUAUAAACACUUAGUAAUCUUUUAUACAUCAAUUAGCAAGCUCUUAUUAAGUAAGUAAAUUUUAUUUCUUUAAUUUUGCCUAUUUAUCUUUCGGGAUCAGAAGUCUUGCCUAAUUAAUGAACAUAUGAAUUAUAUUUAAAGCAUUAACAAAAGGUGGUCCUUGUUAUUAUUCAAUGGAAAAGAGUUUGGAAGAAAAGCUUUUGAAAAAUGGGUUUUGUUUUUGACAAAAAUAAUAAGUGCUUAGUAAAAGUUUCUGCUGAUUUUCUAAAAGCAUAUUUUUUAACACGGUCUCCAUUGGCCCGUUUAGCCAUUAAUGUGUUGAGAAGGCAUUUGUGGUCGUGAGUCGAGAGUUUGAAAGUGUUUUUAACCAGCAUGUUUUUAGAAUUAGUUUAAUAAACUUUGAAAAGGGAUCAAAAAGGCAACUACGUAGCUUGUGAUAUCGGUAGUACAGACUGAUAUAAUUCCCAAUUGAGUUAACUAUUAGAAUAUAUGUCGUUGAUUUCCUAUCUAUAUACUGUAAAUUCCCAAAAGUUUUAUGAAAGCUAAUAUUGUACAAAAUAAAUUUUGAAGUUUCAGUUGAGGCAGCGGCUCAAAAUAAAAUUGUUUUGCUUGAAUAUGCAUUUUGUAAAAUACAAAUGUUCACACUUUAGAAUUUGACAAUAUAACCUCAGCGGAUUCAAAAUGAUUGUUUAUUAGUGAGAGGGUUAAAUUGCAUAAGAACAAGAUACAAAAACUAAAGUUUUAUGGGUUUGUGAGUUUAUGGAGGCUAUUUUAAUAAAUUUAGUAGGGGCUAAAUUAAAAUAUUAGUAAAUUAAACCACCCACAUGAGUUAUUGUGGAAUUUUAUUUUUUUAAUUAAAGAGUGGGCUUUUAUAAUUUUUUAUGUCAAAGUUUAAAUUUUAUGGGCUUGUGAGUUUACAAGGGCUAUUUUUAUAAAUUUUAUAUAGUUGUUUUAAUAUAUUAACGGGACUAAUUAGAAACUCAAAUAAUAUCUUGAUUUUUAAAAUUUAUUUUCUCCAAUUGGAACUCAAACCCACUGGUCAUGAUUUGGAUCCGCUCCUAAACAAAACGUACUCUUUAACAUGUUUUGCAAUUAGUCGAAACUAAAUAUUUAUAAUUUUAGUAGCAAAAUAGAAUUUUUUUAUGAUUGGCCUCUAUAACUUUAACAACUUAAAUAAUUUUACGGACAAUAAUUAUUUACUUUUUAUGGACUUUAACCUCUAGAUAUUUAUCUCUAUUAUUUUUACACCUCUAAAUUUUAAAUUCUGGCUUCGCACGACAAUUCGAAGCAAUAUCUAAUGUGAGUUACUAUAAAUUAUGAAGAUGUGAGAAUUUUAUGAAAUGUAAAAUCAACAUAUAGAGACAGACUAUGCGUGUGACAAGUUAUACAUAAAAGUUUGUAAUUAGACAGUGCCAUUAGGUCUAAAUUGCAUUUUAUAAUAUGUGGAAUUCAAUCUUGGAGAAUAAAAUACCUUUUGUUGCACCACUUCCAUAAACAAUUCUUCGUCCUGUGAUUCGGAUUGACGAAGCAAGACAUUCACAAAGUAAGAACCAUAGAGAUUUGCUGAGACAAAGGUUAUAGGGAAUUUUAGCUGCCUCUACAGUUCUACUGCCCUACUUACCAUUCGUUUUUUCCUCCAAGUAAGCUUCAAAAGGAGGCAGCGGCCUUAUCCUGUCUCUUCACAUCCGAACUCAGAUGGAAGAAACCUCCAGCAGCCAAAACAUAGUAUGUUUAAGAUCUGUUCUAUAUAAACAAAUUUGAAGUAAUUCAGCACUGAAUUGUAAAAACACACUAAAAUGUUACAAAGACUCAAAAAUACUAAAUUAGAGUUUGUGAUUUUAGGCAUUUUGCUAAUUUACUAGCCCUCGUAUAUACUUUUACGUCAUUUUUAGAUAACUACAAUUGCCUAGCUUAAAUCUACAUUUACAAAGUGUGGACAUCCACACUUAAAAGUUCCUAAUGUUUUUCAUUUAGUAAACAAACUAUAUUUAAAUUUCCGAAAAAAAAAAAAAAAGAAGCGAUCUAUUUUAUUUUUCAGAAAGAAAGAGCUCAAUCAAGUACCUUGAUGUUGCCAGCAACUUUGAUGGCAUCAUCAAUUUUCAGUUGAUCACGAAACUGAGGAUAAGCUACAGUAGAUAUCACCACAGCUACUUCCUUAAAUAUAGAUACAAUUUUUCUCGUGCUCGUCUAGCUCUCCCUAUUUUAAUUUUUAAUUUCAACAGUAUUAUUGUUAAUACUUAAGCUUACAAAUAAUAUUGAAGAUUCUAAUUAGAUCAGCACAAAAUUAAUCUCAUAAAAAGAAGUAUAAGAGAUCAUUCCACGCGCACUAAAAAAAGAGAGAGAGAGAGAUCAAGAAAACAAAAGGAGAUCGAGAUGAUUGAGUGAUGAAGUUACCUCAAUAAUUGCGACACCAAUAUCCUGAAAUUCCUUACGGAUUUCAAGCUUGGAGGGACUUGAAUUUUUUUUUUUUUAACCGGUCGAGCAUAAGCUUUGUGACCAGAAAAUACACUUGCUUUCACCAUAUAUUUGCCGAAGUAUCCAGUACCCCCAAAGCUUUUGCGUUCUCACCUUCCAUUUCUUCCUUUUACUUCGAUUUGUCUUUAAUAUUCCCGUCUCUUGUUGCGUACAUUUAUAUAUAUGAUAGCACGAAAGAGCUCAUUGCAUUUUUGUCAUGAUAAUAAAAGAAAAAAAUUGGCAUUUUUGUUCUUUUUUUACUAGAAACGCAAUGGGUUGAACAUUUAUAAUUAGUAAAAGAAUAUGUGUGACUUCACAGUUUAUGGUGUUUUUCAUUGCAAUCAUGUUGAUGUUCAUAAUGUUAAAAUUAAUGGAGCUAUUUCAGCAUGUUGAAAAUCCGAAAAUUGCAUCCAUCAUGUAGUACUUGUGCCAUGUCAUUGAGUUUUGUUCUCUUAUCUUUUUUAUUUUAAUAUAUUACUUGUUUGACAUACUGCCUGUGGAGAUAUUUCUUAGGUGAAAUCAUAAUUUAGUUUUUUUAUAAAUAAUUUAAAUAUGUGAUAUAUAGUAUUUUUAGGCAUCGUUUGAGAUUAAUGUUGAAAUUCAGUAAAUUGCUUAUUUCAUAAUGGUGACAAAAAUAUUAUUUAAUAAAUUUUCUAAAAACUACUUAUUUCACAAUUUCUCCAUCUUGAAAGUAGCUUUUAAAAGUAGGUACGGGUUAUCUUUUAUAAACAGUUUAUUAUAUAAGCUACCACACCUUUUUAAAUUUCCUAUUAUAACCUUAAAAUUUAAAAUAAUAACUAUAUCUUAUUUUUUCAUACACCCUGGUAUAUAAGCCAUAAUAUCAUAUUAUCAUCACAAUCAAAUUAUAAAACUAUUGUGCAUUCUCUUCAGUAUCAAAAUUUUGAUCCAACAAGUUCAUUGGAUUUUAUUUAAUUGAGUUUUUUUUUUCUUUAUGUAAUUUUAUAUUUUUUAAAAAGAAAAAGAUAUGUCUAAAUAUUAUUAAACAUACUCCAAAAAAAUAAAAGGUAAUUUAAACUUAUAUCUAUUUUGGUCAUUAUAUAAUAAAACAACACGUUUGUAAUCAAAUUUACCGAACGCAUGUACAUUGCUUUUUAAACUCAAACUCACAACAAAUGCAACAAUAAAAUUUAUCAAAUACUAAAUUACUUUUUUAAUCAACAACUUAUUAUAUCUAGACAACAAGAGUAUCUUAUUUAAUCAACGACCACAAUACCAAACUAGUUCUUAGUCUAAUGAUAACUCAGUCUCUUCUCCAUUCAUGUGAGCAGACAUCAAACGUUAAAACUCUUAUUUUCAAUUCAAGAGGUUUUACUAUUUCAAUUAGAUGAUACCAUCUCAAAUUUAUGACAAUAUUAUCUUAACAGCAAGUAGAUCUUAUAAAUGAUCUUAACAGCAAGUAGUUCCUAUAAAUGAAAAAUGAAUAGCGUCUUUUCUUCUAUGCAUCCACAAAGUAGCAAGGCAAUGAGUCAUUUUUAUGCAUAUUCAGAUUCUUGCACGCAUAAUACAAUGGUCUCACAUGAAUAAUACAAUGGUUUAUUCACAAAUGAUGAUAGGUCCCUUGUCUGCUUUUUAGAUAUAGUUUUCUUUCAUUUUUAUUCAUAAAUAGGUAUCAAAAUCUUCAUUUGAUCUGGAAAAAAUAUAAGGAUAUAUUUUUAUUUAAAAGAUGGUCACAUAAUCUUUUUUGUAGGAUAAUUAUAUUCUUUAACUUUCAUGAUCUAAUUGUAUUUUAUCCAGACUUCAUCAAAAAAAUUAUAUAUAACUAUUUUUGAAAACAAGAAGAUCUUUAUAACAUAUUUGGAUUCAAUGUUGCUAACCUUCUAGAAAAAACAAUUGAUAGUUAUUGCAUAAUAAUAUAAAAUUAAUUAAAUCUUAACCAUAUAUAAUUAUAUAUAUAUACACAUGUGACAAAAGAUUAUGAAGAAUUGAAUACAAUUUAGCUCAGUAGUGGAUUUCAAUCCCUUCGUAACUGUUUCGCCAAACCACAAGAAUGUUGCAACUAUUUUUCUUUUUUUCUUUUUCUUAUAUUUUCCAUUUAGUAACAACUAAGUAACUGUACAUUCUAAUGAACACACCCGAAGGAUGUAAAUUUGAGAAAUUAGCGAAAAUAGCUAUAAAAGUUUAGGAUUUUUUAAUUUGACCCCUCAAAAUUUUUCCUAUCAUAACUAGCCAAAUGCUUGUUUUUUUUAACCAAAUAGUUCUCAUUACUUUUAAUAACUUUACCAACAGAUGGGUCCCUAUGAAAAAUCCAGAAAAAUCAGAACCUCAACACUCUCAAUUCUCCCAACAAAUCAUUAAACCCCAUUACUCUCAACAAAUAACCAAACCAGAUCAAACAAGUAUUACGUAACUGAAAAUAUAAUCAUCAAUUGCAGAGCUUCUUAGGAUUAAUGUAUGUUCUUACACAAAAGAAACUUUUAAUGUAUUAAGUUUAGGAUUUAGUUCGAAAUUGAUGUGCAUUUUGUUGUAAAUAUUGUUAUCUUCCAUCAUAAAACAAUGUGAUUUCUUAAUGUACUUAAUUUGAGUUGAGAAAUAAAACAAAAUCAUUGAAAAACAGGCCUAGAUUAUGUGCGACAGGAAAGUUCACGUGCAAGAAGUAGUGAGACAAGUGUCUAUUGUACAUAAACACAGCUGAGCAAAUGUUGGUGCGACAGGCACCUAUCGGACCAAAAGAUAGUUUCAAUGUGAUUGUCUUUUGGUGCUACAGGUGUUUGUUGCUCUAAUAUAUUUUGAUUUGUCUCAUCACCAGUUUCGAAAUAAUAUAUUAUAUAUUCAAAACGGACACAUAUAGUUUAAGUUAUAGCCUCUGAAAGAUAUCAAACACAUUUUACAUGACUAUCGCACAUACUGUGAUUAUAUAUGUUAGCCAGCUGUCUCACUGCCUGUUGCACAUGAACUUUCCUAGCCCACAUAAUCUAGGCUUGUUUUACCUCAAAUUUUUCUUGUUUUCAAUGAUUUUUUUUCCUCAACUCAAACUAAAGUACCUUAAGAAAUCACUUUGUUUUAUGAUGUAAAAUAAUAACAUUUACAAUAAAACUCACAUCAAUUUUGAACCUAAAUCUUAAACCUAAUACAUUAAAAGUUUAUAUUGUGUAAGAACAUACAUUAAGAACAUUCAUUAACCUUAAAAAGCUCUCCAAUUGAUGAUUAUAUCUUCAGUUAUGUAAUAUUUAUUUGAUGUGAUUUGGUGAUUUGUUGAUUUGUUGAGAGAGAUGAGGUUUGAUAAUUUGGUAGAAGUGUUGAGAGUGUUGAGGUACUGAUUUUUUCUGAAUUUUUUUGUAGGAGUGCCAUUUGUUUAUAAAUUUGUUGAAAGUGAUGAGGACUAUUUGGUUCAAAAAACUAGUAUUUGACUAGUUAUGAUAAGAAAAAAUUUGAGGGGUUAAAUAUAAAAAAUUCCAAAAUUUAUAUCUAUUUUGAUAAAUUUCCCUAAAAUUUAAGCUUUGGGCUUAACAAAGCCCAAGCCAGAGACCAGCAUGUUCUUCAAUUCAUGAUAUUAUGAACCAAUACUUACUAUGUAUAAUAUUAUUCUUAGAAUUUUUUUUAUUUCAUUCUUUUAUGUUUUAAAACCACCAGAUUUCUUCUCAUGUUAUAAUGAUAAACAACCUAAUAAACUCUAUAGAGAGCAACUUGCUCUCUAUUUAAUAGUUAAAUAUGAUAGUUAAAAAAUGAAUGAUUUCAAUACUACUUUUGAAGUAAAAAAAAUAUUGACAAAGCCCAAAAUAUUGUUAACAUUUAGGGUGUUCUAGUAAAUUUUAAAAAAGGAUAAGGAAACAAUUAAUUUUUUUUUGAAAUAAAUGGGGUUUGUGAUUGAUAUUGUUUGAAAUCAUAUUUUUGUAUUUGUUUUAUAAUGUAAAAAUAAUUAUUUUUGCGAAUUUAAAAAUGUAUUUCAUAGCUUGUCUCUAAAAUAGUAUUUGAAAAUGAAAACUUAAAAUCAUUUUUAGUUGUUUGUCUGAAAAUAUGAAGAUAAUAGAACUUAAAAAAAUUGUGUUAUAAUGCCAGAAUUUAAGGGAGUGUAUUAAAAUAUUAAAAAUAAAUUAAUAUGUUCUAAAAAAUAAAAAUAUUAAACAAAAUAACAUAGUAUUAUAUUUUUAGUAAAGUAAUUUGUCUACAAGUGCAAUUUAUCAAUGCGAAUGUAUUGGAUGAAAAUUUUUCGAUUGGAAACUAGAAAACUUAAGAGGGUGUAUUUGCUAUCAUUUUCUCUUAAGCAUUUUCACUAUACGAGUACAAAAAUUAAUUAAAUUUAUUUGGUUCACUAUUUUCUAAGAAAAUGUGAGGAAUAAAUCAUUUGUGUGUUAUUUUUUAUAAAAGACAUUGAAAAACAUUAAGUUAGUGUUCUCUAUAUUUUUUUGUCACUAAAGUCAUGCAUAUAGGGACCACAAACUAUCUUUGUUUUAUUUAUUUGACAAGUGACUAAUGUAAGGACCAAAUUUACUUUUCUUUUAGUUUAUGUCUAAAGUUAAUCACUUAUGUUAAUGAUUUAUGUCUUAACAAUAUGAGAAUUUUAAGAAAUACAAAAAUCUUUCAACUGUUAUGAAUUUAUUAAAAUAAACGUGAAUUUUCAUAACAUACAUCUCUCAGUCUCUUCAUUAUCUUCCAGUAGCAACCCUUGUCUUAUUUAUAAAUUCUACUAUCUUACAAAGAAUUAUAAUCCAUAGUGUUUCUCUCAUCUCUUUAUUUUGUACACACUUAAAAUAAAUAAAAUCAAUCUAUAAUAUAUUGCUCUUUUAUUUUACUCUUUAUCUUGUGUUGUUUCUUUAUUUUUCUAUUGCCGGCUAAAAACUUUUCUAAUACAAUAUGUUUGUAAUUUUAAGAAAGCUGGAUGAGAACUAUUUGGUUCAAAAAACUAGUAUUUAGCUAGUUAUGAUAGGAAAAAACUUGAGAGGUUAAAUUUAAAAAAUUUCCAAAAUUUUGUAUCCAUUUUGAUAAAUUUCCCUAAAAUUUAAGCUUCGGGAUUAACAAAGCAUAAGCCAGAGCCCAGCAUGUUCUUCAAUUCACGAUAUUAUGAACCAAUAGUUACUAUGUAUUAUAUUAUUCUUAGAAUUUUUUUAUUUUAUUCUUUUAUGUUUUAAAACCACCAGAUUUCUUCUCAUGUUAUAAUGAUAAACAACCUAAUAAACUCUAUAGAGAGCAACUUGCUCUCUGUUUAAUAGUUAAAUAUGAUAGUUAAAAAUGAAUGAUUUCAAUACUACUUUUGAAGUAAAAAAAAUAUUGACAAAGCCCAAAAUAUUGUUAACAUUUAGGGUGUUCUAGUAAAUUUUAAAAAAGGAUAAGGAAACAAUUAAUUUUUUUUUGAAAUAAAUGGGGUUUGUGAUUGAUAUUGUUUGAAAUCAUAUUUUUGUAUUUGUUUUAUAAUGUAAAAAUAAUUAUUUUUGCGAAUUUAAAAAUGUAUUUCAUAGCUUGUCUCUAAAAUAGUAUUUGAAAAUGAAAACUUAAAACCAUUUUUAGCUGUUUGUCUGAAAAUAUAUAGAGCUGAAAAAAAUUGUGUUAUAAUGUAAGAAUUUAAGGGAGUUUAUUAAAAUAUUAAAAAUAAAAUUAAUAUGUUCUAAAAACUAAAAAUAUUAAAUAAAAUAACAAAAUAUUAUAUAUUUAGUAAAGUGAUUUGUCUACAAGUGCAAUUUAUCAAUGCGAAUGUAUUGGACGAAAAAUUUUCAAUUGGAAACUAGAAAACUUAAGAGGGUGUAUUUGCUAUCAUUUUCUCUUAAGCAUUUUCACUAUACGAGUACAAAAAUUAAUUAAAUUUAUUUGGUUCACCAUUUUCUAAGAAAAUGUGAGGAAUAAAUUAUUUAAGUGUUAUUUUUUAUAAAAGACGUUGAAAAACAUUAAGUUAGUGUUCUCUAUGUUUUUUUGUCGCUAAAGUCAUGCAUAUAGGACAACAACCUAUCUUUAUUUUUUUUAUUCGACAAGUGACUAAUGUAAGGACCAAAUUUACUUUUCUUUUAGUUUAUGUCUAAAGUUAAUCACUUAUGUUAAUCAUUUAUUUCUGAACAAUAUGGGAAUUUUAAGAAAUACAAAAAUCUUUCAAAUUAAACAGUUAUGAAUUUAUUAAAAUAAAUAUGGAUUUUCAUAACAUACAUCUCUCAAUCUCUCCACUAUCUUCCACUAACAACCCUUGACUUAUUUAUAAAUUCUACUAUCUUAAAAAGAAUUAUAAUCCAUAGUGUUUCUCUCAUCUCUUUAUUUUGUACACACUUAAAAUAAAUAAAAUCAAUCUAUAAUAUAUUGCUCUUUUAUUUUACUCUUUAUCUUGUGUUGUUUCUUUAUUUUUCUAUUGCCGGCUAAAAACUUUUCUAAUACAAUAUGUUUGUAAUUUUAAGAAAGCUGGCCAUUUCUUUUCUCUAAUAGGAGUUAUAAGAACGCCAUUCAAAAUGCAAUACCAAAUGCUGAAAAAUGAGAAUGAUUCAUUCUCGCGAAAUACAAAAACCAGUGAGCAAACGCAUUUUACACGAUUUUGUUUUUGGAAAACGGAAAACGCCAAAACAAAACCAGUACCAAACUCACCUUGUUUAAAAUCCUAAAAUUGUGUCGCCAAGGACUGCUUACUUUGGAACACGGCGCGGCCCCAGAACUGCCGUCGUUUUGGUGUUCUGAAGUGUGAAGAUAAACACGACGACCUUUUUCGUGAAUCCCUGAGGCAUCAUAAAACGAAUCAGCUGAGGCGUUCUUGUUCUUCUCCUUUUCAGUAAGGAGCACGAGCUGGUGAGUGAAUUCUUUCAACUGAACGAAAUUCAAUUACAUUAGUAUUAUCUGUAAGUUUUCGUUUUCGAAGAUGUAUGGAUUAUUCUAUAGAAGUAAUCGAAGGCUAUCACUAGCACAAGUGUUAUCAAGUAGUAAUAGGUCUAUUGCGCAAGAUUUAGCCACCUCUUAUUUGGAUUUGUUUUCUGGUUUGGGUUUGAAAGUUCAGAACGCAAGGUUGUUUAAUCCUUUUGGCGUUAAGUUAUUCUCAACUGAAGACGAACAAAUUAAAAGGAAAGUGCCAAAAGAAUGCUCAUUUACGGUGUCAUGCCUCAUAAACUCACGUGGGUUGUCCCCAAAAAUUGCAAAAUCUGUUGCCGAAAGAGUAAAGCUUCAAUCUUCGAAACAACCAGAUUCAGUCCUUCAAUUUUUGAAAAAUCGUGGGUUCAAUGGUUCCCAAAUUGCUAAACUUGUUAGGGUGCGCCCACAGUUACUUUUUGCCCAUCCCGAGAGGUCUCUCUUACCUAAAAUUGAGUUCUUGAACUCUAUUGGGGCCACAGACGCUGAACUUGCUGAUGUUUGCUCGUCAAUCCCAGCCAUUUUGGAUCAAAGCUUGGAGAAUGUACUCAUUCCCAAUUAUAAAUUCCUCAAAAGUGUGUUUUUCUCCAAUGAAAAUGUUAUUAAAGUUUUGAGGAAAAAAAGAACGUGGUUAUUUAGUUUUGAUUUGCAGAAGACUGUGUCUCUGAUACGCCGCGGAGGUCGUCAAGGAUUCCAAAGCCUAGCAACAAGUAUGCUGGGUACGUUUGAAUUAUGCAUGGAUGCUUGGAAGUCGAACGGUCACAUGGCUCAAGACUCAUGCAUACGUUACAUGCAACAUGCAGCACGUUGGAAGAAUGGUCGUUGGAGCAGUCUACAGGGAUCAUGGGUUGAUUCGGUCAACAUGGGAUCACUUGCUGAUUUAAUGGAGAUUUAUUAUUUGGUUUAAUUCAUAUUCGGUUGUUUUGUUAAGCUAAAAGAAUAAGUCAAGUUGUUAGCUUAGUACCUGCCUACAAUCUCGAGUGAUAGUUAGAUUGUUUGGCUAAGUUGUUUCAAGUAUAAAUAAGCUCCAACAGACUUGAAUAAAGGCAUUGACUAUUAUCCAAAAACUCAAAUAUCUUGUGGUCUUAUUUCUCACCCUGAGUAGAAAUAUAUUCAAUCACUUACGCUUUGACUGGGACCGCUAUCAGUGGUAUCAGAGCGAGGUUACUAUGUCAACCAACAAGGAACGCAUAGAGCGUGUGGAAGUUGAGAUCGGAAGCUUGCAAGAUGGAAUGAAGCGUAUGGAACUAGGGCUUACUGACAGAUUAGAAGAAACAAUGAGCAAACUGGUAGAUUCACUUUCAACUUCAAAAGGGACGCCAAGUCACAACAAUUCUGAUCAUGCCGGAUCCUCACAGCCUAGCCGUGGAGAUAGUGAAGGGAGCCGCCAUCAGCUAGCAUCAAGACUUACCAAACUGGAGUGUCCACGAUAUUCCGGCGACGACCCAACGGAGUGGUAUAAUAGGAUCAUGCAAUUUUUCGAGUACCAGGAAGCAACCAACGAACAGAAAGUCUCCUUAGCUUCUUUUAUCCUAGAAGGAGAGGCCAACCAAUGGUGGCAGUGGAUGCGACGAACUUAUCAAGAAGAGGAAAAGACAAUAACGUGGGAAAUUUUUGUGGAGGAGCUUUCACUACUAGAAAAAUAGUCUUUUGUGACACUUGUCUUCUGACACUUUAUUAUAAAGUAUCAGUAAUUACAUGUAUUUGGGGCAUUUUCCGUGUUUAACAGAUAAGUAUCACAAAUUGCUAAUACUACGGCAUCAGUAAAUUAAAUAUCACAGAUUCGUGACACUAAAGUAUUAGUAGUUAAAAAAAUAAAAUUUUAAUUUUGUAUCUAGUAAUAAUUGAACCGAAGACCCCUAUGCCAUAACCUUUUGAUUUUAACCGCUAUACCACUCGGCCACAAAUUGCAUUUUUGAACUUAUAAAUUAAUAAAUAAAUAAUUAUUAAAACUUAAAACCUAAAACCUAGAAAUCUUUCAUGUAUGGUCUGUGUGAAACCUAAGACCUAAAAAUUUUUGUUAAGUCAAAAAUCUAUCUCACGACCGCCGAAGCUUUCUUCCUUCUUUCUCCUUCCCUCUCUCUCGCUCUCUUUCUCUCUCCAACAAUGAUCUACCUUGAAAGCCGCCUCUGUCAACACCUUGAAACCCGUCAUCCUUAAGCUAAAAUAUCCCUGAAAAGAACCCAGAAAGUGCUGUGAAGAAUUUGGGCAAAGCUAAGGUUUGAAAGUCCGAAUCAGUGUUGUGGUAACUCUUUGUCUCAUUCUCUAUUCUCAUUGUUUAAGUAUUUAUCUGUUAAUUGAUUGAUGUUUAUUGAGUGCAAAUGAGAGCUUGCACUUGUUUGGAAAUCUAGCCAUCUAGGGUUUUUGUUGCUUAUAAUCUAAUUUAUUGUUUAAUAAAAUAAAUAAAACGCAACUUUAUUAUAGGUGGAAUUCAGUUUAUUAAGUGAAAGAAUGAUUACAAUUGGUGAUUAUGGAUUUAGGUUGAAUGCAAUUUGUUAAUUAAAAGAAUAAUGGUAAUCGACAAUCAUGGGUUUAGUAUGUAUUAUUUCGUUUAAUGGUGUGUAUGAAAACCCAAACCUAAAAUUUUCUUAAGUAAAAAUCUCCAUUCUCCCUCACGAAAUUAUUCUGAAAAUUUGAGGAUUGAUAGACUGUUGUUGUGAACUUGGUUGUUUCCGAACUUGACUAAAUGACUUUCAAUUGAUUUGAAAGUUUGAUUAAACUAAGUUUAAAUGAGAACAUUUUAAUUCUGGAAAUUUUGGAAUGAAUUGGGUUUAUAUUUGAUUUUGAAUGGAUUUCUCAAUAUGGUUGGUUGUUGUCCAAUUUUAUUAGAAAUUACAUAUGUACCAUGUUUGAUAUUGCAAACGUAUAGUCUAACAGAGUUAGAAUAAGCUGAAAUUCGGAUAAACUACACUUCUAUUUGCAUACUUCGAAUAUGGAAAAUUUUAUUUUGAUUGAACUUGUAAUUUAUUUUUAAUGAUUUUUCAAACUCUGCUGUCUCUGCAGUAACUUUUUUUGACAGAACUGUUCAUUAAUCUUUGAUCCUAUCAAACACCAGCCUAAUGAUAUCGGAAUAGCCUCAAAUUUUAAUAUGUUGUUGACUUAUAUGUCCACUUAAAAUCUGGAAAGUAUCAUUAUGAUAUAUUUAGUAUUUUAAAUUUAAUAUAUAUUCAAACACUUGCUGUUACUUUUACAGUUUCAUAUGCAAUUUUGACAGAACUGUUAAUUAAUCUUUGAUCCUAUCAAACACCAGCCUAAUGAUAUCGGAAUAGCCUCAAAUUUUAAUAUGUUGUUGAAUUAUAUGUCCACUUAAAAUCUGGAAAGUAUCAUUAUGAUAUAUUUAGUAUUUUAAAUUUAAUAUACAUUCAAACACCUGCUGCUACUUUUACAGUUUCAUAAGCAAUUUUAACUUAUAUAGUUUAUCAUGUGAGAAGCAAAUGUAGAGUUGUCCAAAUGACUUGGAAAUUUGAUUUGUGGUGCAUGGACAUGUCUAAUUAUGUUUUGUAAGUUUCAUAACAUUCCAAAUUAAAUUAAAGAAAAUCUUAAAUUCAAGUUGUCAAUGUUUCCUAUUAAAUCUGAUUAGUGAUAAAUCUACUAACUUGCAGUACUUUUCAGGGAAAAAAAUGUGUCAACACUGUGAAUUGCAAUGGGAGAAGAAAGUACCAAAGGCAUAAAUCUUUUUUCAUUAUAUUUGGGACUAUUCUUAAAGGUUAGUCUUUUCCCUUUUCCUUUUUUUCUUUUUUAUUUAAGGUAAUCAUAUUCUUUUUAAUUUUAAUUACAAUCAACUGAAAAUUUGAGGAUUGAUAGACUGUUGUUGUGACCCUGGUUGUUUCCGAACUUGACUAAAUGACUUUCAAUUGAUUUGAAAGUUUGAAUAAACUAAGUUUAAAUGAGAACAUUUUAAUUCUGGAAAUUUUGGAAUGAAUUGGGUUUAUAUUUGAUUUUGAAUGGAUUUCUCAAUAUGGUUGGUUGUUGUCCAAUUUUAUUAGAAAUUACAUAUGUACCAUGUUUGAUAUUGCAAACGUAUAGUCUAACAGAGUUAGAAUACGCUGAAAAUCGGAUAAACUACACUUCUAUUUGCAUACAUCUAAUCUGGAAAAUUUUAUUUUGAUUGAACUUGUAAUUUAUUUUUAAUGAUUUUUCAAACUCUGUUGUCUCUGCAGUAACUUCUUUUGACAGAACUGUUCAUUAAUCUUUGAUCCUAUCAAACACCAGCCUAAUGAUAUCGGAAUAGCCUCAAAUUUUAAUAUGUUGUUGACUUAUAUGUCCACUUAAAAUCUGGAAAGUAUCAUUAUGAUAUAUUUAGUAUUUUAAAUUUAAUAUACAUUCAAACACCUGCUGCUACUUUUACAGUUUCAUAAGCAAUUUUAACUUAUAUAGUUUAUCAUGUGAGAAGCAAAUGUAGAGUUGUCCAAAUGACUUGGAAAUUUGAUUUGUGGUGCAUGGACAUGUCUAAUUAUGUUUUGUAAGUUUCAUAACAUUCCAAAUUAAAUUAAAGAAAAUCUUAAAUUCAAGUUGUCAAUGUUUCCUAUUAAAUCUGAUUAGUGAUAAAUCUACUAACUUGCAGUACUUUUCAGGGAAAAAAAUGUGUCAACACUGUGAAUUGCAAUGGGAGAAGAAAGUACCAAAGGCAUAAAUCUUUUUUCAUUAUAUUUGGGACUAUUCUUAAAGGUUAGUCUUUUCCCUUUUCCUUUUUUUCUUUUUUAUUUAAGGUAAUCAUAUUCUUUUUAAUUUUAAUUACAAUCAAACCAAUUCAACAGCAAAUGAAGAUAACAUUUUUUAAAUGCAUUCAGUUUUUGACAAUAGCAAAAAGAAAAAGGAAAAAUGAUACUAGUUUAGGCUUUAGGAAAUUUGCAUAAUGAUUCUUGCAUUGCAGCUGCCUCUAUCUCGGUGCUCUCGGAGAAGUAAUCUUGCUUGAUUUUGCAUGAUAGUUGAUACAAGCCCGUCCUAGCCAUUGCAAAAUUGACACUAAAAAGGUUCCAAUUUUUAUAUUGUAGUUUGAAAAGUCUAUAAUGUUUGCUAUGCUGAUGCCCCAUUUGAAUGUUGGAGCCUAAAAAUGAACGGUUUUAGGACCAGCUGGGUGGUUCCAGAAAGCUAGGAGCUUGUUAGCUAUUCUUUUUAAUUGAGCUAAUUUAACUUAAAUAUUAGCCCGAUUAUUGAUUUCUAUGGUUUGCGAUUGAUUUGANNNNNNNNNNNNNNNNNNNNNNNNNNNNNNNNNNNNNNNNNNNNNNNNNNNNNNNNNNNNNNNNNNNNNNNNNNNNNNNNNNNNNNNNNNNNNNNNNNNNNNNNNNNNNNNNNNNNNNNNNNNNNNNNNNNNNNNNNNNNNNNNNNNNNNNNNNNNNNNNNNNNNNNNNNNNNNNNNNNNNNNNNNNNNNNNNNNNNNNNNNNNNNNNNNNNNNNNNNNNNNNNNNNNNNNNNNNNNNNNNNNNNNNNNNNNNNNNNNNNNNNNNNNNNNNNNNNNNNNNNNNNNNNNNNNNNNNNNNNNNNNNNNNNNNNNNNNNNNNNNNNNNNNNNNNNNNNNNNNNNNNNNNNNNNNNNNNNNNNNNNNNNNNNNNNNNNNNNNNNNNNNNNNNNNNNNNNNNNNNNNNNNNNNNNNNNNNNNNNNNNNNNNNNNNNNNNNNNNNNNNNNNNNNNNNNNNNNNNNNNNNNNNNNNNNNNNNNNNNNNNNNNNNNNNNNNNNNNNNNNNNNNNNNNNNNNNNNNNNNNNNNNNNNNNNNNNNNNNNNNNNNNNNNNNNNNNNNNNNNNNNNNNNNNNNNNNNNNNNNNNNNNNNNNNNNNNNNNNNNNNNNNNNNNNNNNNNNNNNNNNNNNNNNNNNNNNNNNNNNNNNNNNNNNNNNNNNNNNNNNNNNNNNNNNNNNNNNNNNNNNNNNNNNNNNNNNNNNNNNNNNNNNNNNNNNNNNNNNNNNNNNNNNNNNNNNNNNNNNNNNNNNNNNNNNNNNNNNNNNNNNNNNNNNNNNNNNNNNNNNNNNNNNNNNNNNNNNNNNNNNNNNNNNNNNNNNNNNNNNNNNNNNNNNNNNNNNNNNNNNNNNNNNNNNNNNNNNNNNNNNNNNNNNNNNNNNNNNNNNNNNNNNNNNNNNNNNNNNNNNNNNNNNNNNNNNNNNNNNNNNNNNNNNNNNNNNNNNNNNNNNNNNNNNNNNNNNNNNNNNNNNNNNNNNNNNNNNNNNNNNNNNNNNNNNNNNNNNNNNNNNNNNNNNNNNNNNNNNNNNNNNNNNNNNNNNNNNNNNNNNNNNNNNNNNNNNNNNNNNNNNNNNNNNNNNNNNNNNNNNNNNNNNNNNNNNNNNNNNNNNNNNNNNNNNNNNNNNNNNNNNNNNNNNNNNNNNNNNNNNNNNNNNNNNNNNNNNNNNNNNNNNNNNNNNNNNNNNNNNNNNNNNNNNNNNNNNNNNNNNNNNNNNNNNNNNNNNNNNNNNNNNNNNNNNNNNNNNNNNNNNNNNNNNNNNNNNNNNNNNNNNNNNNNNNNNNNNNNNNNNNNNNNNNNNNNNNNNNNNNNNNNNNNNNNNNNNNNNNNNNNNNNNNNGUUGGAGCCCAAAAAUGAAUGGUUUUAGGACCAGCCGGGUGGUUCCAGAAAGCUAGGAGCUUGUUAGCUAUUCUUUUUAAUUGAACUAAUUUAACUUAAAUAUUAGCCCGAUUAUUGAUUUCUAUGGUUUGCGAUUGAUUUGAGUUUGACAUUCUUGUUUUGUGUUGGUUUGAGUUUGACAUCCUAGUUUAAGACUUUGAAGGCUUCCAAGAAAUGAUUUUGGAUGAUGAGCAUAUGAGUAAUAGUUUGAAAAUUAAUUUACUGUAUCAAAUAUAUACUUAGUGUAGUAUAUUAAUUUUAAGAACUAUGGAUUAUUCCAUGAAUAUUCUAGUAAAUAGUUAUGUUAUAUAUGCAUGUCUUAAUAUAUAAUAAUUAUAUUUUGAAGUUUGUUUUUUUUCCCUUUCUAGGUUUAGGAAAAAUGUUUAAAGUGAUUUUGGGUUAUGAUGUCAACCAAGUUAAAGCAACAUUAUUUGUGAGUGGAAAUAUAUAAUAAUUAUAUUUUUAUUCUACUUUUUUUUUUCUUAAAGUUUUAUAAUUAGGCAAAAUUAAUGAAUACUUAAUUACAAUUUAGGGUGAUAUUCUUUAAAUGGUUCACAUGAAUAGAUUUAAGUAGUAUAAUAAAUCUCAUACUCACUUUAUAAAGGCUUAACUAAGUUUGCAAAUAUUAUUUCUUUUAGUAGUAAUAAUUUUGGAUCGAACUCUCAAAUUAUUGAAAUAUUUUAUGUCCAAACUUUAUUAUGCCUAAUAUAAAUAUGGAGAUUCAUAGUUAUUUUAUGUCCAGUUUAAGGAAACUGCAGUUUAAGGACUUAUUUUUUGCCUUGUUAAAUAAGCUUUUAGAAUGAAUAAAUUGAGGAAAUGAGUGGUGAUUUAUUUAUAAUAGAGCAUUUGUGAUAGCUUUUAACUAUGCACAAAAAUCAUUUGGUAUAUGUAGAUAAAGUAACAUGCUUGUGCUGAAAGUAGAUAUUAUAUUGAAAACUUCUUGUCUGCUAUAGUUUGCUAUAUAUAUAACCUUUACUAAAAGAGGAUAAUUGAGUUUAUUUAUAAAUAGCUUAUGAAUAUUUUUUUCUUUCGAACAAAAUAAUUUUAUUUCUGUUAAUUGUUGUUUCUCUAAUGGCUGGAUAUUGGCAGCUAAUUUUUUUUUUCUUUUCCAUGUAUUCAUAUGCAGAUUUGAUCAAUGUGUUUGAAGUGUUUAUUCCUCAACUUCACUUAUAUCCUAACCCAUACAGUCUAUUGAAUGGAGAAGCUGCUGGUGUGAUAACGCAAUUAUACUACUCAUAUUCAAAGAGUGAAAGGCAGUCAUCCUUCUCAAUUUAGCUUCUAGAUUUAUUAAAUUUAGCCACAAGUAGUAGGCAUUUGAUUGGAUGGUAGAAAUUGUUAUGUAUUGAAUUUGGAUUAUUUAGUUAUGAGAGUAGGAUAUCUCAUAUUUUUGCUAUUGAAGUUGAAUUUGUAAUAUAUACUAAUAAUAUUUAAAUGUGAAAUGAAAGAUUUUGUGAUAUAAAUCAAUUUCUUUUUGUUAUUUUGUGGUGCCUUUUAAUUUUACCAACAAAUCAAUAGGCAAUUAUCCAAUUCAAUUUUUUAUUUUUUAAAAUAAAUUAACUAGUGAUGCCAUGGUAACAGUAAUCAUAGACACUAAUAAAAUAUCAAUAACUACUAAUACUAUGGUGUCAUAAUAUCGGUGAUACUUUAGUAAUAGUAAUCACUGACACCACUUACAAGUGUCACUAUUUUUCUGACUCCCAGAUUACUGACACAAUUAACAAGUGUCAGUGAAAGUAAUUUCUGACACUAUUCUAAAAUCAGUAAAGACCAUUUUUCUAGUAGUGUUUGGGCACGAUUUGGCCCUACUGAGUGCGAAGAUUAUGAUGAGGCGUUGUCCAGGGUUAAGCAGACAGGGUCACUACGUGAUUAUCAGAGGGAAUUCGAAAGGCUUGGGAACCGGGUACGAGACUGGACGCAAAAGGCCUUGGUCGGGACCUUUAUGGGAGGAUUGAAGCCGGAAAUCUCAGAGGAAAUUCGGAUGUUUCGGCCCAAAACUUUAAAAGAAGUUAUAAGCCUCGCACGUAUGAAGGAUGAUCAAUUGACGCGACAAAGGAAGUUGCUGCAACCACAGUACCUCAACCGUACACCACCAGCACCAACAAACAAUACCCAUGCCCAACCAACGAGACCCAUCAAACGGCUGACUUGGGACGAAAUGCAGCGACAUCGAGCAAUGGGACUUUGCUUCAAUUGCAACGAUCGAUUUACAGCAGGUCAUAAGUGCACCCAACCUCAGCUAUUGCUCCUUGAAAGUGAGACAACGAAUGAUGAAACUACAUAUGAGGGAAUUCCUGAAGUCUUAUGCACAGAACCGGACACUAGAGAGCCAACCGAUCCAAAAAUCACUUUCUAUGCCCUCACUGGAUGGGCAACCCCAAGAACCAUGCGGGUCACGGCAAAUGUAGGACCAUAUGAGAUUAUGGUUCUGAUCGAUAACGGUUCAACUCACAAUUUCAUCAGCUCGCGAAUGACCAACAUGUUACGGCUGCCAAUCAUUCCCACAACAGGAUUUUCGGUGCGAGUGGCAAACGGAGAAACGCUAUCAUGCGAGGGAAAAUUCGAACGGGUUCAGGUAUUAUUACAAGAAGUUCCAUUCACUUUGACUCUUUAUUCACUUCCAAUUACAGGGCUGGAUAUGGUGCUGGGAGUCCAGUGGCUUGAGAUGCUAGGCUCAGUGGUUUGCAACUGGAAACAACUUACCAUGGAUUUCACUUGGGAGAACAAAAGUUGCCGGUUACAAGGCAUCGGGCCUCAAUCAAUCCAAACGGCAUCCUUGACCGAAAUUACCAAAGAGCUGAGACAACAGCAGUCCGAUUUUGCCAUUUGUUUCCAUGUGAAUGUAGAAGACUCUCUCAACACAACAACUCCAGAUAUGUAAGACUUGUUAAAGGAAUACAACACUUUAUUUCAAGAGCCAACAAAACUGCCACCUAGACGAGAAAUCGACCAUAACAUCACAUUGAAAGAGGGAACUGAGCCAGUCAACGUACGGCCAUACCGCUACGCUUAUUUCUAGAAAGCCGAAAUUGAAAAACAAGUCCAGGAGAUGCUGAAUUCGGGACUCAUUCGGCCUAGUACCAGCCCUUUUUCAUCACCAGUACUACUUGUAAAAAAAAAAAAUGGAAGUUGGCGAUUUUGCACUGACUAUCGGUCUCUCAAUAACGCCACUGUUAAAGACCGAUUUCCAAUCCCUACAGUCGAUGACAUGUACUUCACUAAACUGGACCUAAGGGCCGGAUACCAUCAAGUACGUGUAAACCCAGCCGACAUACACAAAACGGCUUUCCGCACACACAACAGACAUUACGAAUACUUAGUAAUGCCGUUUGGCUUAUGCAACGCACCAUUGACAUUCCAGGCCAUCAUGAAUUCUAUCUUCCGUCCCUAUCUCAGGAAAUUUAUCCUUGUUUUCUUUGACGAUAUACUGAUAUACAGCCCCUCUUGGCGUAGCCACCUUACUCGUGUUAAGCAGGCAAUGGAGGUUCUUAAACAUCAUCAAUUUUUCCUUAAAGUAAGUAAGUGCACUUUUGGCCAACAAGAACUCGAGUACCUCGGCCACAUAAUUACCAGCCACGGGUAAACGUAGAUGAGACAAAAAUUGCGGCCAUGGUCUCCUGGCCUCAACCGAAGAACAUCUCAGAGCUACGGGGAUUCCUUGGCCUUACGGGUUACUACAUAAAGUUCGUCCAAGGAUAUGGAGUUUUAGCUCGACCACUCACGAAUCUUCUCAAAAAAGGGUAGUUUGAAUGGACUGCAGAAGCGGACAAAGCUUUUAUCAAUUUAAAAAAGGCAAUGACAAGUACACCUACAUUAGCCAUGCCUAAUUUUAAUGAAACUUUUGUUAUUGUGACAGAUGCAUCCGGUGACGGCAUCGGCGCAAUACUCCAGCAACAAGGGUAGCCCAUCGCUUUUAUGAGUCGUGCCUUGGGAGUCACAAAAAAAUCUUAGUCCACAUACGCAAAAGAGAUGUUGGCGAUUAUAGAAGCUAUCCGUGUAUGGCGACCUUAUCUGCUGGGACGAAAGUUUAUCAUCCAAACCGAUCAACGCAGCCUUAAGUACCUUUUGGAGCAGAAAAUUACGACACCCGAACAGCAACAAUGGCUGGCCAAAUUGAUGGGGUUUGAAUAUAAAAUCCAAUAUAGACUCGGCCGUGAGAAUGUUGCCGCUGACGCCCUUUCACGACGACCUCACAAUUAUGCUCUUAACAGUUUAUUUGUGGCACAGGUAUCUAUUUGGAACGAAAUAAAAACGGCUGCCCAAGAUGAUGAUUACAUGCAGCAAAUUACACAUCAGGCCCUGACUCAACCUGCUGGCCCUUAUUUCAUGCGUAACAGGCUGAUUUUCUUCAAGGGCCGAGUUGUAGUUCCUCUUCGACUCCGUCAAUCAUUACUUUUUGAAGCCCACGACACUAAGAUGGGAGGUCAUUAAGGAGUUCUACGUACUUACAAACGUUUGAAACAACAAUUCUAUUGGCCUUCAAUAUUUCAAACGGUUCAUAACUAUGUGGGUAAAUGCGAGAUUUGUCAAAAAACGAAAGCAUCAACUCUUAAGCCUGCGGGUCUCCUCCAGCCCUUGCAAAUUCCUUGCCAAUUGUGGGAUGAUAUCACGCUCGACUUCGUUGAAGGGCUGCCAAACUCACACGGUAAAAAUUCUAUUCUAGUGGUGGUGGAUCGGCUCAGCAAGAGUGCACACUUUAUGGCCUUGACUCACCCAUUCACAGCAAAAACAGUGGCUGAGAAGUUUAUUGAUGGAGUGGUAAAAUUACAUGGCAUGCCGAAAUCAAUAAUCAGUGAUCGAGACCCUAUUUUUAUUAGCAAGUUUUGGAAGGAGUUUUUUCAUAUGUCAGGUACACAACUCAAGAUGAGUUCUGCGUACCAUCCGCAAACCGACGGUCAGACGAAAGUUAUUAAUAGAUGUCUUGAACAAUACCUACGAAGCUUUGUUCACCAAUGGCCAAAGCAAUGGAACUCUUACCUACCUUGGGCAGAAUACUGGUACAACACAACGUACCAUGAGUCCACAGGUAUGACUCCUUUUUUGGCUUUGUAUGGGCGACAUCCACCGGUAGUACUAAUGUAUCAUGUGGGAUCUUCUCCAGUGCACGAGGUAGAUCAAGCUUUGUUGUCUAGGGAUGAGUUGCUGCGACAACUAAAACAGAAUUUGGAAAUGGCAACCAAUCGCAUGAAACAAUUUGCGGAUACAAAAUGGCGCGACGUGGAGUUUAAGGAGGGUGACAUGGUAUUCCUAAGACUUCCCCCGUAUAGGCAGACUACUGUAUUCCGUCGUGCUCAUCAAAAGUUGGCCAGCAAAUACUUUGGGCCAUAUCCAAUUCUGCAAAGAGUGGGUCAAGUGGCUUAUGAGCUUAAACUACCGACGGGAUCUCGAGUGCAUCCGGUAUUCCAUGUGUCCUUACUCAAAAAAUAUGUUGGUGUGAUGCCUCAAUUCAGCGCAGAUCUUCCAUAUGUCGAUGAUGACGGAGUACUCGUUUUGGAACCGGACAAAAUUAUUGAUGUUCGUUGGCUUAAAAGAGGUGGCAAGUUGGUGGAACAAAGUCUUGUCCGUUGGAAACGCCUUCCACAUGAGGAUGCAACAUGGGAAGAUUCAGAGUUCCUAGCAAAGCAAUUCCCUCACCUGAUCCUUGAGGACAAGGGUCCUCUUCGUGGAGGCGGUAUUGAUACGCCGCGGAGGUCGUCAAGGAUUCCAAAGCCUAGCAACAAGUAUGCUGGGUACGUUUGAAUUAUGCAUGGAUGCUUGGAAGUCGAACGGUCACAUGGCUCAAGACUCAUGCAUACGUUACAUGCAACAUGCAGCACGUUGGAAGAAUGGUCGUUGGAGCAGUCUACAGGGAUCAUGGGUUGAUUCGGUCAACAUGGGAUCACUUGCUGAUUUAAUGGAGAUUUAUUAUUUGGUUUAAUUCAUAUUCGGUUGUUUUGUUAAGCUAAAAGAAUAAGUAAAGUUGUUAGCUUAGUACUUGCCUACAAUCUCGAGUGAUAGUUAGAUUGUUUGGCUAAGUUAUUUCAAGUAUAAAUAAGCUCCAACAGACUUGAAUAAAGGCAUUGACUAUUAUCCAAAAAAUCAAAUAUCUUGUGGUCUUAUUUCUCACCCUGAGUAGAAAUAUAUUCAAUCACUUACGCUUUGACUGGGACCGCUAUCAGUCUCCGAAACUUGCAUUCUUGAGAGACCUCGGAAUGCCCGAGGCCUAUUUUGCACUGAUUUUAUCAUGUUAUCCCCCAAUUGUCCUCCAAAGACAGGAUAAGUUCUAUGGAAAUGUUAAGAAGGUCAUCAAAAUGGGUUUUGAUCCUCAAAAAUGUGAAUUUGUCCAUGCAAUGCAGGUAUUUUCUUCAAUUGGUCAAUCAACUUUGGAGUGCAAAUUGGAUGUCUUGAGGAGGUGGGGUUGGUCUGAUGAGGACAUUAGGUUGGCAUUUAGAAAGUGUCCCAUUUAUAUGAGUGCAUCUAAGACAAAAUUAGGCAGCGUAUUCAAUUUUUUGGUAAACAAGAUGGGUUGGCAGCCUUCAGCUAUUGCCCAUGUUCCAAGUGCUUUUAUGUAUAGUUUGGAGAGGAGGAUCAUCCCCCGUUGUUCAGUUAUAAGAGUUUUGCUUUCAAAGGGCUUGAUCAAUGAAGAAAAUAAAAUCUGUUUAUCUUCUCUUGUGAUAAAUUCUAACAAGCGCUUCUUGGAUACAUUCGUGACCAAAUAUCAGGAUCAUGUGCCUCAAUUGUUGAAUAAGCUUUUAUGAGCAGAGAAUAAGCUUCUACAACCCUGUUUAUCUAUGCCUGAAUUUUGUUAUAGGAUGUUGCUCUUUGCCGCAACUCAAACAGAACUUGUACCUUUCAUCUUUAUCACUUUAUGAAUCAUGGGAAAUGUUUUUUUUAAUUAAUUAUUUUUUUUCCUUUUUCGGAGUCGUUGAAAUACACUGAAGUUUCUCAAAGCAGCAUAAGAUGAAAUAGUCUUUCAUCAAUGUGUUUUUUUAUUUCCUUUUUCCAUCUAUCUGAAUGUCUGAAUGAGAAAGAAACAGCUUCUAAAUUUUGAUAGACAUUUUGGAUCAAGUCAAAGUCCAGCCCAUCUUAGUUGUUCAGUAAUUAUAAUUGGGUUUAAAUUGCAUCCCAAUCGCUGAUCUGUUUGCUCAAACCAGAUGGUGAACAAUCAAAUUUUUUUUUUUUACUUAUAUAAUUUUUAAAAAAGAUAAGAGGGUGAGAAAAAAAGUUUAAAUUAUUUUUUUUGGCCUCCUACCUCUUUAAAUAUUUGAACUCGGAUGAUCAGCCUAAGAAAAUUACUUAAAAACUACUUCAUGAAAAUUUUAGAAGCUGAUGGUAAACAAAGGUACUCCAUAAUAUAUCUAUUAAUUACAAAAUCUUUCCAAUUUUUAUUAUACACCAUAUUACAUAAUGCUUAAAAAAAUAACAAUAAAUAAAUAGCGUGCUUCAUUUAUUUGUCAUUCAUUUCAUGACCAAGCCACUAUUCAGGCUUUCAUUUCCUUUCUAAUCAAAAGACAAUUCAAAACAAGGCGGUUGCUAUGUUACAGAAUCUGUAACAUACACACCCAAUGAGAGGAGCACACAUGUCUUGAGGGGAGAGAAAAGCCACCAAAUGAGUGUAUAUGGGAGUUGGCUAAAGCUGUUCGUUUUCUUGCUCAGAACGGGCGGAUAUGCGCAAGUAGGAAGUUUCCUCAGCCUGAGAGUUCAAAGAAAUCAUAUCGCUUUGGGUUGCACAGGCUAUAGUAGAAAUUAUUCCUCUUUCGACCAACUUUUUUCAACCGGCUACAAACUGCUUCAAUCGAUAAAAUUAGAAUUAUAACAAUUACACGUGGUGUAAUGUUGUUGAUUUGUUUGUCAAUUUCUUUAAUGUUUGUUACAUUUUAUAUUGUAAGAUAACAAGACCCGUAAGUUAAUAGUGGGUGUAUUUAAUUCUUUUCUAUUUUGGUAUUAUUUUACUAAUAAAGGACUCAUGUAGCUUAUGGCGUAUUUGUUAUACAAGCAGGGAAAAAAAGUAAAUAACCAAAUGCAUGGUUACAGAUUAAAUCAAUUUUUUUUUAAUCAUUCUCUUUAGGAUAUAAAUUCCAAUAAAAUAAAACUGUUUAAAAACCUCUCGACUAAGGCUCAAGGACUUAUUGCACAAGUAGCUUUAAUCUUAUUUUCUUUUAUGAGUUUGAAAGCAUAAGAUUGAUAUGAAGUUUCCAAUUUAUUGAUUGUCCCAAAUCAUUUAGAGCAAAGAAGGAUACGAUAAAGAAUGUCUAGUAUUACUGUAAGUGUAAUGAUCAAUUUUUUUUUCAAGGGUGAAAUGAUAUUUAUAUCUUAUAUUGUUUAAAAUUGAAAUAAAUUUGACAAGAAACUAUGAACAAUAGAUGAUGAAUCAGAUUUCAUGGAAUUAUAUAAAUAGUAAGGCCAGGGAUGACAAAACCUGGGGUUGGGACCAGGAAUGGCAAAUCCCAGCUCCGACACGGACAUGUUUUUUGAACACCUAGGCUAGGCAUUUUGUUCGAGCUUCAAAAGCAUUGGAUUUUAUAUUUUAUAAUAUUAAGUAUGUAUAUGUUUAGAUUUAUAUAAUUUUUAAUUUUUAAUUUUUUUCAAUGAAAUUAGGCAUGAAAAUAUGAAUUUAAAUGUUCAAAAAUUUUAACGUAUGUAAUAGAUUGGCCGAAUAAAUAUAAUUAUUUUAAAUAAUAUAUUUUUUAUAAUUAUUUUAAAUAAAAUUAGAAUUUUGGACACUACCCCUAAUUUAUCAAGUGAUGCCCAAGGCUACGGCCUGACCUCAUCCGUUGACUAGAUGUUACUUGGCCCACAUCGCAUAAGUUCUGUCCAAGUCCAGUUGCACGGAUAUUUUUGACACCCCUAAAUAAGGCUUUAAUGCAAUUAUCCAUAUUUAAUUUGGUCACUUUAUCAACUAGUAAUAAAAUUUCAGUACUUUUAUCAAAAGUACGGCCUUAUGUCCAAUGAACCCCAAUUACUAAAAUGAUCUCAAAUUUCAUCAAUGCAUUUUAUAAAAUGAACUAAAAAAAUUGAAACAAUUGAAUUUGAAUGCUUUCAAACUCAUUAACAAAAUAAUAUUGAAACAACUUGCGUAACAAAUAGGGUGCUAAGUGAGAUGAACCCUUUAUUAGUAAAAUUUUCUGUUUUCUGUGUAAAGAAAAUUUUACGAAUACAAUAAAAUUUAAAAGAGUAAUGAUAUAGCCACAAACUUUUGUACAAACUAAUGUGGCAUGAUAAGAUUAGUUGAAUUAAAUAUCACUUGGCCCACAUGAUUUGUUUUUAUUAUUUUAUAUUUUCAUUCAACCAAUGAAUUAAUGCCACGUCAGUUUGUACAAGAUAAGUUUGUACAAGAGUUUGUGGCUGUAUCAUCACUCAAUUUAAAAAGAGAUUAAAAAGAAGAAAAAUAUGAUAUGAAUAUAAAUGGUAUGAGACAAACACCGAUGCGCAAUUCCAAUAAGAAAACAAAACCAAAGGAGAUCGAGAUAAUUGAGUAAUGAAGUAACCUCAAUAAUGGUGACGCCAAUACCCUGAAAUUCCUUGUGGAUUUCAAGCUUGGAGGGUCUUGAAUUUUGUGUAACAGGUCGAGCAUAAACAAAAGUAUUGUGACCAGAAGAAACACUUGCUUUCACCAUAUACUUACCGAGGUAUCCAGUACCCCCAAAGAUAAGUUUCUUUGGUUUUGUGUUCUUACCUUUCAUUUCUUCCUUUCAUUUCAAUUUGUCUUUUCAUAUUCCCUUCCCU